rnacentral:lncRNA from 1 species
UGUCAAUACCUUUUCUACCACAUCUUCAAAGGUAUCAUUUCCAGAAUACUUUGUGGUGCACAUUUAAUACUGAAAUUGAUCUUUAGCUAAAAUGGUAUAACAAUCAUGACAAUGUUUUAGGUCUUUCUGAUAAAUGCAGCUGAUCCUUUGUCCGGUAUGACAUUAGUGUGGGAGUGUGAAGGUCAGGCCCACUGUAUAAUUGAACAUCAUCAGGGGUAUCUUUAUUUAUUUACUGAUGCUGCAAAGGAGGGCCAGUUGGUUGAUCAUCACUAUCUUCUGUGUAGUCCUGUCAGCAGUUCUUCCAGUUCAAGAAUAUGGGAGGUAGGUAUCCAACCCAAAUCUCUCUACAUGCAUGUGCAAUUAUACCUUUCUGUGGUUCUCUUCCAACGAACCUCUUUCAGUUCAUUAUAUUUUGGCACUAUCUGUCUGCUGCAUUCUCCUCUCUACCUUCCAUUUCCACUAAUUUCUAGAUGCAACAUUAUUUCUUUUGCAACUUUCUUUAGUUAGUAAUGGGCACAUGGUUAAUCAGCCCUUAUAUCUUCAUGAAUCCACUAUCAUUUAUUGCAGAGUGUAUUCAAUGAUGACCAAGAUUUGAUUGUUGAGGAUGUUGAUUUCUGUGAUACACACUUGGUACUAAUCAUGAGGGAAGGUUGGAACUUUAGGCUUUGUUCAGUUCCUCUGCCUUUGCCUGCUGGGAAGGUGAGAAAACAAACAUCAUCAUCUCGGCAAAUCCAUGAAGUUAACUAAUGGUGGCCAACAGUUUCAUUUGAGUAUGUUCAUAUCAUACUCUUGUGUUUUUCUCAUCUGCGCUUCUCUUGUUGUUGCAGAAAGGUUUUAAUCUGGAACAGCUUAGUCCCAGAUUCCUUCCUCUUCCAAGAUAUGUUUCUCAAAUUUCACCAGGACCAAAUUAUGACUACCAUUCAUCAAUGAUGCGCUUUACAAUAUCAUCACCUGUGGUACAAGUCAUUUUGGCCCUAACUUCAGUAAAUGUUUUCUUUUAGCAACUUAUAUAAUUCUAGUUUGCUGUAUUGCUCAAGAAUUUUUACAUGGAUCCUGCUCUAGAUAAUAGUUGCAAGAUAUGAAUGGAAAUGGGUUAAGUGAGUUACUUUUUCCUGUAUUACAAAACACUCUACCUUUUCCUUUUCAGGUUGUAUUUUUAGACCUCGGUCUGCUAGGAUAUUAUUGUCAAAUAAAUAGAUUUUAUUUUUGUUCUAUUGUUGCCCUCAGCUGAUCAACUCAAUUCAUGUGGUUCAGAGGCUAAGGUUUAGAGUCCAAAGUUCUUUUUGUAUAUUGUGUGUCUUGGCUCUUCACUGCAAGCAUUAGGGCCAGUUCUUUUGUCAUGUGACCAGAUAUUCAAUUACAUAAGGAAAAACAUUUAGUAAUUUUUCUCACUUAUUUGACUUAUCAUGUGUUUGUCUAUGUGUGUAUGUGUAUUAUUGCAUGGGUGCUUUUUCCUCUAUAUUUUUGGUAAAAGUGUGCUUUUCUGGUUGAAUCGUGACCCCCAAAUUUCAUACAGAUGCCAGAUGCUGUUGUUGAUUAUGACCUAUCAAAUGGGAAAUGGAACAUCAUUCAACAACAAAAUAUGCUUUACGAAAGAACAAGAAUUCUGUAUGGUGCAGCCUCUUCUGUGAACAUCACAGAUAGCCCCUUGAAGGGUCAAAACUAUGGCUCUUCCAAUGAAGUGAAAUCUCAAGAUGAUAACUUGUGGCAUGACCUCUCUGAGUUUUAUGCAUGUGAACAUCAUAACGUUUCUUCAUAUGAUGGGGUUUUGGUUCCUCUAACUGUUGUAUACUCACACAAAAAUAAAUAUGGAAAUCAAAAUCCUGGGUUACUUCACGGGCAUGGAGCUUAUGGUGAGUUACUCGAUAAACGAUGGCGUGGUGAGUUGAAAAGCCUUCUUGAUCGUGGUUGGGUUAUUGCAUAUGCCGAUGUCAGGUUUGUUUCAACUAUACCACUACCAUCUGACUUUGUUUUUUUUUUUUUUGGCCACAGCUUGCUGUGUGUAUGCAGUUGUUUGAUUCAUCUUAUAAAAUGAUUUCUUUUGCUCACUCUAUUUAAAAAUUUGAAUUUCUAUAGGGUAUUUGUGUGUUUACAACUUAACAAAACUGAAUUUAUUUGUAUUUUUGCAGAGGAGGAGGUGGUCAGGGUAAGAAGUGGCAUCAUGAUGGCAGACGCAGGAAUAAACUUAAUUCCAUCAAAGAUUAUAUAUCCUGUGCCAAAUUCCUAACUGAAAAUAAAAUUGUGGAAGAAAAAAAGCUUGCUGGAUGGGGAUAUAGUGCUGGAGGACUUUUGGUUGCUGCAGCCAUCAAUUGUUGCCCGGAUUCAUUUCGUGCUGCAGUUUUGAAGGUAUAUAUUAAUCUCAUAAUCUCAUAAUCUGUAUGUCUUUUUUGGUGUUUCUCAUUUUUCUUUUUAAUACCCUGAUCAUGUAAGUGUUCACUGCUUUUACUUGUCUUAGUUUCUCAAAAUUUUAAAUGAAGCAAACAGUAAGAUGGAGGUUGUCAUUUUUUUAAUAAUUAAAAUAAAAUAUAUAUUCUCGAUAUACUCAUUUCUAUGUCUGUCCAUAUUCUUUAUCUUUUCCAGGUCCCUUUUCUAGAUCCAACCAACACUCUUCUCUAUCCCAUUUUACCGCUUACAGCAGCUGAUUUCGGAGAGUUUGGAUACCCUGGGGAUAUUGAUGAUUUUCAUGCGAUACUGGAAUAUUCUCCCUAUGACAAUAUUCAGAAGGAUGCUGUUUAUCCUGCUAUAUUGAUAACCUCAUCUUUUAACACACGGUAAUUUGCUAGCACACUUUACUGGCUAUGCCUAUAAUUUGUACAAACACAGCUGAUCAUGAGUGAAUGCAAACUAGUUGGAUGGUGUUAAAUUAAAUCACAAACGACUUUUAGUAGACAUUUUCUAAAACCUAAGGAUAAUGGAAAUGCAUGGGUCAACAUAUUAGAGAGUAUUUGUAAUUUUGAAUAGUGGUUAUGAAGUGUCAAAUUGGUAGAACCUGAAAUUGAGGCAGCGAGUCUAUAUUGUAUAUUGGAAACUUAUUAACUGUUCUUUUGUGUUCUUUUAUUCUAUUAUUUAACUUGACAUGCUUUUUGCUUGAUGAUGAUGAUGAUAGCAUUUUUUUUUUUUUGGACGAGUCAUAUGCUUAUGAAUUUUGUGUUUGAUGUAUUUCAGAUUUGGGGUUUGGGAAGCCGCAAAAUGGGUUGCCCGAGUUCGUGAACACACUAUUUAUGAAACCAACCGUCCAGUACUCCUUAAUUUAACAACAGAAAUUGUGGAGGAAAACAGAUAUUUGCAUUGCAAGGAGUCAGCAAUGGAAACUGCAUUUCUUAUCAAGAUGAUCGAAUCAUGAGUUUGAUUUUAUUACAUUGCGCUCCAUAAUCCGUCCUUGAAUCUGUUUUUUGAUCUUUUAUGACAAGUAGCAGAAAAGGCUGUCUUCAAGAUCUGAUGCACCUUGGUUGCCAAGCAGGUUUUUCCCACUUAAAACAUUACUUGGUGGUUAUAGCAUUUCAUGAAUUAUGAAAUCUGCUUGAUGAGGACAUAUCGCUGAUCUGUCCCAUUUAGCUGGUUCAACUUGCCAAAGCAGCCAAUAGAAUUAGGACAGAAAAACUUUACACUGUUCACCAAAUGUUGGUUAUUUGUUGCUUUGCCAUAUUGAUAUUGCAAGUUAAUUAUUGUAUAUACAUAUGUCUAUCUGAUAUGCUCAUUAUAAAAUUUUGAAAUGGAAGAAAACCUUUUGAUAAUAGCUUUUAAAAUUUGGGAAGCUUCAUAAUGCAUUUUUGCUCUUCUUUUGUUUUUGUGAGUACCAUUUCCUUAAUCUUGUGGAUUAGGACAUGCCAAAUCUUAGAAAUCUAAUAGUUAAUUAUCCAAUUAGGCUUCAAAAUCUCUCAUCGGUUGAAAUAAGUCAAACGUGUCCCUAUCACCAACCACCACAUAAAGUUCCUUUUAGAAGACAAUUUCCCCAUAAUGGCUCUCAAAGAAGUUUGUCAAACAUGAAACCAUUAUUAUUUCUCUUUUGUUAUCUUUUUAUAUAGUACUGUAAGAUUUUCCCAUCUGAAAUGGUGGAGUAUUUUUGUAGUGAGGGGUAGGGGAUCUCUUGUUUUGUAUCCUUUCAAGGAAAAGCAGGUUUUGAUCAUCAUUAUUUGGCUUUAAAAAGAAAUUUGCGUUGCCAUGUCCAACCCAACUUUAUGAAAAGGAAGCACUCAAGCUCUCAUGGAUUAUGGUAUAGAUACAUAUACAUCCAUGAAUAUUUUUCAUGGGAAACAAAACUCAAUGGGUAUGGCCCAAUUAUAGUAAUUGCUCUGAGAAAAGAUACCCUCAAUGCCUUUGGAUUAAGCCUAAUAUUGAUGAUGAGAAUUUGCAUUAUACUAAAGGAAUAUAUCUAUUUUCUGUUUACAUCAAAUCACUGUUCAUUGCGCAUGAUUUCUCUCCCUUACGCUUUGCUUUUCAUAUUUUAGAGGGAAAGUAGCUUAUACUUUUCUUGAAUUGAGAUUUGUCACAAACAGAAAAUUGGGUGUCUUCAUGGCAAGAAAAUGACACCAAUUUUGGUUGAGGAUUUCAAAUUUGCUUCUUGGCCUAAGAUAUCAAGUUGUACGAAAGAAUUAGAGAACAUUUUUUAACCAGAUUUGUGCAGUAUUAAAUCCAAAUUCAUCCAAAACAGAAAAGAGUUCCAAGUCCCUCCAAUCUAUCCAAACAUGUCCAUGUUCUGCUUUUUGUUUCCUUGUAGUUGGAGACAACCCCAUCAAAGUGAAAAGGAAAUUCUUGUACGACUAGUUGGGUUUUGUUCUAACAAGAUAAUAAUUUUUCCUCGAUUAUCCACUGAAAUUUAAAACAUAAGAGUCAAAUACUUCAGCCAUGCAAUUUCCAAUAUAAGCAAAAGCAGUGUUUCUGCCACUGAAUUGUAUUUAUAUAGACUACAACAGGCAAAAUAAGGUCAAGAUUUUUUACAGGAGCAAGAAAUUUUGAUUUUGUAUAGGCCAAAAGCAGAACGUUUUGAGUGGUGAAGUCCCAUCCAUAUAAGUCUGCUUCGAGGUCAACAUAAAUUUCCGAGAUGAUACAAAUUCUAAUGCCACCCUCUACAAUAACCCAAAGGAGAAGGGAAAAAAGGAUAAGGAAAAAAAUCAAGCAAACAAGAAUUAACAAAUUCACCCGUUGAAUCAAAGAGUCUCGAGGAAGAGCAAAAGGACCUGUGGCCAUAUCACCUUUGAGUGCUUCUCUGUAGCUUUUGAUCUUCAGCUCUGACUCUCAGAUUCGUACCCCAAUUGAUUUUCCAUGUUCACAAAAAUCCAUUUGUUUCUUCUUGGAAAUGUACUAUUGAUCGCCAUCCCAAAACUCAUGUAUCUGACCCCUCUUCAACUGUUGGAAGACUACCCUCUUUGAUAAAGGUUGGAUUGAGAAACUUGGAAACAAAAGCCCAUAAUUUGUAAACAUCUUCGAAGUUGGUAAGAAAUCCCAGAGAUGCAGUGACUACUUCCACCCUUAUGAACCCACUUUUCCCACUAUGGUGCCCAUUUUCCAUUGGCCUACAUAGAGUAGUAUCUUCAAGAUUCAUAGCACCACGCUGCUGUUUUGGGCUAUCCAGUAUUCGUAUGUGACUAAGAAAACCAAUGCCAAGGGAGAUACCUUCUCUUUCUGCCAGCUUCUGAACAACUUCAGGAUUUAUCAGUCCCCGGUUUCUAUCUCUAAUGUUAAAAGCUACAGCUGCACCCCUUUCAUAUUUUAUUUUUGGACCGUAAAUGUGAACAAGAUUUUCCGUUCUUUCCCCAUCUGAAAUGGGUAACCUUAGUUGAAGUAAUGAGGUCACAAGCCAAUUGAUCAAAAAUCGCAAUCUGAGAGUGGUUUUAUUGAGACCCAACAUAUUCACAUGAUCCAAGUGCCGACAAAUUAUCUCAGGUUCCCUCCUAUCCCACUCUUGCCCAUCACCAUAUUCGCCAUCACUGGUGUACUCUUCAUCAUCUAGGCUGGUUACAGAUACCUCUCCAGGCUCCAGAGUAUGACUUAGCUGUUCUUUACGGUUGUCCUCCAUGCUAAAGGACACUCUUCUUCCCCUGCUUGGAUGUUCAUUCUCUUCCAACCCAAAAAACCGACCACCUGCAUAUCUAUUCCCUUCCCUUCUUCCCAACAAUCUGAAUUCACCUUCUGUUUCUCUUCUUAUAGCACUCUCUUUCAUGUCUGAGCCAAUUGCAGAGGUUGAGCCAUUUGCUAGGCCAUUAUGCACAGCAGAUGAAUUAUUGAAUUGGGAUUUAUAUGUGUCAAAAUUGGACAAAGAACCGGCUGAAAGUGCAUUACUGGUUCCAGGUUCUUCCUCAAUCUCAUUAACAUGAAGACGAUUUGAAACCUUUUUACUAUUUCGUGGAGUGUGGUUUGUUUCAGUGUACUGUUCUUCUUCUGGAACCUCCUUAACUCGAUCCAAUUCCUGUGAAACAGACAUAACUGCAGCAUCAAAAGAGAGCACAUGGUGGUCAUCAUGUACCCCCUUGUCGUCAUAUAGUGGGCUGCCAUAUAUCUUUGACGUUGGUUUUGGAGAGAGUCGUUUGUGAUUCCUCUUGCCAGAAAACCAAAAAGGAGGCAGGGGAGAGGACAAUUUCUGUUUGUUUAACUGACCUGCUGCAUCUGAUCCCAAUGGACUUUGACCCAAAUCAAUCCAGAAUGAGUUGUCUGAUGAUUCAUCUUCACUAAAUACCGGGCUUUUCAUCACUUCCCCAACUGAAAUACUCUCUGUUUCUUCAAAUAUGGUGCUUGUCCCAUCCCUAUCAGAACUGUUAUCCUGUUCCAUCUCAGUCUCAAAAACAUCCCUCACCUGAGCAGAUGUGAAUGCACCAGAAAAGGCAGGCAACUGUGUCCCUGGACGAGUUUCUGUGGUUGUUUCAGCAUUCCCAACAACUUCAUCAUCUUCAAUGCAAACCAAUCUGUCUAGACCAUCAACAGAAUCACUCAAAUACAAAGGAUAUUCAGGUGUUAUCUUUACCAUUCCAGACCCUGUACUCCCAGACUGAUUUUGAAGGCUUCCCAUUACAGAUUUCUUGAUAAGAAGACAUCCAAAACCGGUUGGGUCGUGCCCAAAUACUCUGUAAAAGGAAGUAAUAAUAAAAUCAGGCCGAAACAAGGACAGCCCAAGUGAAUCCAUAUCUUUGGGACCCAAUGAGCCAGCAUCAAGCAAGACAUGCCAAUUGUUUUGCUGAGCAAGUGCCAUCCAUUGAUAUGAAUACUUUGCCCCAGUAACUCUAGACUGCACUGGAAACACGAACAAGCCCGCUGCAGAAUCCUUCUUCCGCCUCUUCUUACUUGAAAUUUGUUUUCUCAAAUCAGUAGAACAUAAUUUAAGAGUUGGCCAUUUAAACCAUGCACUAUAAACUUUUGCACCCUUUUCUUUGGCACUUUGAACCAUCCAACUCACAGACUGGCUCUCAUAAUCAAACAUUGUCAACAACUUCUUAUUAGUAUGAAAAGGGUAUGAUUCUGCCAGCAAUUUAAAUGCAGACCCUCUACUCACAGUGAAAACAAGGCCAUAUUCAUGCUCAGGGAUAUUCAAAUAAUCCAUAAUUCUGGCCUUUAUGUCAUAUUCCACAGUGCCUUUCUCAGCACCACCAUAAAGAGCAUGGUUACUCAAAUUUGCAGUUAUUUCAGAUAAGCUAAACGUAGAAGACUCCCAAUAAUGCAAAGUCUGAAGGUAUGAAAAAAGCCCAUAUCCACAAUAAUCAAGGCAUACCUUUGGAGACAAAUGUGCAUAUUCAUCCAACCUUAGCUGAUCAACCUUCUCUGAAGACUGGUACUUUGGGUACAUUGUGAGGAACUUGGAGAAUGCCUCGUGGAGUUCAGGAAUGGAUUCUUCAUUCUCAAAUAUGCGCUCUGCAGCUAAGGCUGUGGCACGCAAGAAUUCGCGCUGGGCAUUAAGUCUUGCUAAGGAUCUUGAUCUCCCAAGGCUCUCAUCUUGGUUUCCAACUGACUCGGACUCCAUAUCUCGCGAUUUGAAGAGAGACCCAUCUUCAGAUGCCUCUUCAAGAGCCUCUCUAAGCUUAUUUUCUUGCAAUUUUCGAAGAAUUGAUGGGUUUUUCCUGAUUUCAUGAUUGGAUUCAGACCCGUCUUUUUUCCUGCUCUUCUUGUCUAAGAUUAGAGCAGCACAAUGAGAUAUAGGCUUCCACAAUGAAAGAUGCAUUAAAGCUUUUGACUUUACAACCAAUCUAAGAAGAGAAUCAAAAAAUAUAAACCCAAGACUCCAGAAAAACAGUUGGGUUCAGUUGAGUUCAGGCGUUUAGCCCACAUACAAGGAACAGAGAAGGGUCCAGUUUCAAACCCUAGGUGCUAGCUAUAACAAGAAAGAAAAAGGCCCGACUCUAAAACCAGAUCAAGAGAGCUCUAAAUUAAGAUUUCUUCAACAAAGAACCUACAAAAAUGAAAAAGAAAUUUACAAAAACUCAGAACUAAAGAAGUCAGCUCAGCUUCAAAAAAUUUUCAGGUGAAAAACCCAUAGAAAUCUACAACCCAGAAUUGAAAUGACUCAAUUCAGUAAAGUCAAAAACCCAUUAGAGUGAAAAUUUAAACAAAGAAAACAAGUUUUUGAAGAGACCCAAGAAAGAUAGAGAAAGAGAAACAGAGAGUCAAACCCUAGACACCAAAACCCAGAUCCCCAAAUUUUGCAGAGAAACUCGCAUCAAGCAAGACACUAAGAAAGAAAAUUGGAUAAAAGGGUUUCACAUAACCUAGUUACUGAGUUUUGAAAGAAACCCUUUAAAUCCUUAAAUGUGAAUAGGAGUCAAGACUCCAUUAGCACACCAGAGAGAGCUCAAAAAGAAACUCUCUUUCUUUAGUUUCUCUCUCUCUUCACUGCAGCACGAAUAAAAGCAGGCAAAGGCAAAGCAAACCCCUCUCCAUAUCAAAUGCUCAUUUUACUUUGUGAAUAGUAAAUCCACAGCAAAGACAAACCAGUUUUUGAUAACCCCACUUUGCUCUCUCUCUCUCUCUCUCUCUCUCUCUCUCUCUCUCUCACUCUCAAUUGACUCUCUUUCCAGUUCCACAAUCUUCCACUAUAACCUCCCUUAACAAACAGUGAGAAGGACAUUGACUUUUGCAAACCAAAUGUAAGUCCUGUUAGUUUUUUUCUUUUCUUUUUUUUUUUUUUAACCCCUCUGCCUCUCUCUUUAAUUAAUUAAUUAAUUAAUAUUAUUAAAUUUAUAUAUUUCCAAUUAAUAUUCUAUUUUUUUAUAUAAUUUAUGUGCUGUAUGGGACCCGUCAGAACCUUUUCUACUAUUGGCCAUAGCUAAAAGUCAAAUAAUCUGCUAGCUCUCUUAAAAGCUGUUUUCUGUCCAACUUGGCACAAAUGCAGUGAAAACCACCACCAAAGUCCAAAACCUCCAACCUGAAUCUUGAUUGUUAAUCUCAUUUUUUAAGUUUAUUUAAUUUAAAAUUUGCCCAGACUAACCUGUAAAUCACAGUUACUAAACUAAUUUAUUGCUUAAAUAUUUAUUUUACAAUGUAAAUAUAAUUAAUGAAGUGAGUAUUUAUUUAAAAAUAUAAAAAAAAGUUAUUCAGGACAUAAAACAUUUUUUUAUCAUUUAAAUUAAACAGUUAUUUUUAUCCGACGCUUCUAAAAAAAAUGACAAAAAAAAUUACAGUACAAUUUAUGUGGUUUGUAAAAUACAACUAAUUUAUCUCUGUCUUUUAGAAAAUAAACUAUAUGUUCUUAUAGUUUAUUUUCGUCAGAUUACGAGGGCCUUUUAUUCAAUUUUUAUAUCUUUUCUGUUAAGUAUCUUAUGAAAUUAUCAAAAUAUCAUUUUAUUUUUAAAAUCACAAGGACAAAUCAAUUGUAUUUCUCAAACCAUAGGGACUGCACUAUAAUUUUUUUUUUGUAUAAUAUUUUAGUAUAUAUCUUUUGACCUCUUUGUUUUCUUACUGAUUUAACGAAAAAGAUGCAAAAAUUGAAUGACUUAAUAGUGCAACAGAAGCAAAAUAUAGGAACAAGUUAUUAUAUUUUAAAAAAGACAAUGAUAGACUAGUUGAAUUUCGCAAAUGACAAAAAUCAUAUUGUAAUUUUUUCCAUUUCUAAUUUAAACAUAUAUAUAAACAAUUAUCAGCUAAUCGUUACUGCAACACGUAACAGCUACUAAAAUAGUUAAUUAAUAUUAUCAAACAACACAUAACAACUACUAAAACAACUUAUAUUACUGAAUAACUACUAAAACAUAUAAUAUUAGCCAAGGGACUCUAAAACUCAAACAAGAAUCAAAUAAGACGAGAAAUUUUUGAAUAAUUUAGAAAUUAUAAGCAUGAAAUAGUGCUCUACAUGCAUUCAAGAAUGUCUAACAAUGGGAAGAUGAGUAUGAAUGUUAUAUUUCCAAUUUUAAAAUCAAGCCAUGAAUGUUAUACGUGUUUUGAGCUUUUGCCAUACUCAGACAAGGUCCAAGAAAUAUAAUUAACUUCUCAAUUUUUUAAAAAAAAAAAAAAAGAAAAAGAAAACUUGAUUGAUGAGAAGAUCAACGUGGAUUAGUAUUAUUUUAAUUUAAUAUUAAUUCACAUCUCAUGAAUCAAUUUUACGACUAUCACUAUAAAACGACAUAAUAGUCAACUUCUAGAUGUGAAUGAUUUAUUAAUUAUAGAAAAAAAAAUUCAAUAAUAUAGUGUUUUGUUCACUAUCAAUGUUUGCUUCUUUUGUUUAAUAUAUCCAAAAGAUAUUAACCUAAUAAAAUACAUAAUUCAACAACUCCCAACUGGUAUAUUCUGUUAAAUUUGCAAUUUUAUUUUUUUUUUCCAUUUAAUUUUUAAUUAUCAAGUUGAUAUCUUAGAUAUACAUCACUUUCUUUCUUUUUUUUUUAAUUUUUAUUUUCAUAAUUUAUUUGCAAUUCCCAUAAGUUAUAAAUAAAUUUAAAAGAUAAACUUAUGUCUUGGAUUAAAAAAUUCAAUGGAGUGCUGAGGCAAAGACUGAACCUGAAGGGCACAGCUAACCCCUUAGCAGUUAGCAAUAAAAAUUAUUUAAUAAAAGAAUUUUUUUUUUUUUUUUAAUAUCAAGAAUUGCUUAUAUUAAUGUUUGUGGGCAUGACAUGUGUAUUAAAGAUGUUAGGUGUUGUGGGGGCUCCUGUCCCUAAUAUGUUACAGUAUUUUAUCUGCAUUGUUGAAAACCUGUUAUAUUGGUUAACGGUUGAUAGGGUAAAAGAGUAAAUUUGAAUCAUAAAAUUUUCAAUUUUAGAAAUCCUUUUUUUUUUUUUCUAUUAAUACUUUAUAUUAUUUUUUAGAAAUUGAAAUAAAUCAAAACUGAGGAAGGGUUCCUUAGGAUUCUAAUAUUAUGAACUAGUAAAGCUCAAAACCCCAGAAAAGGCCGACUUGAUAAUUACAGUUUACUUUGUUAUUUUAGAAAAUUGACUAAACCCCACCACACUUUUUUUAAAGUUGGAUCCACAUAUCGAUGUUAAUUAAACAGUUUAGUCCUGAUUAAGUUGUUGAUUAUCCAAAUAAUUAAACAAAUAUAUAUUUUUUUUGUUUAAACCAGUUAUUUUCCAUUUUGUUCUUUCACUUUCCUAUUUGAAUUGAACCAAUUUCUUCCCUUCAAUUAUUAAGAAAAUGAAAAUUGAAUCUCAAUUUUUCCAGAUCUAUUAGUAAAAUUUUUAAUUCUAGAUCUAAGAUAGUUUAAUGAUCGGGUUCAUAAGUGUUUUUUUUUUUUUUUUUUUUUGGUAUGAUCAAAAGAUUUAAUCCCUCUCAAGCCGUAGAAUCUAAAUGUUUUUGGCACUUUUAACUAAGUAUCUCACUUUUACGCGAACUGAAGUCGCUAAUCCCUUGACUAAUAUUUAUUGGUAUAAGUGUGAUAUUUUGAUAGUGGGAUACUAAAUAAAGAACGGAUAGACUUAGAAUUAGUUGAACCGUAGUUGUUUCAAAAGACUUACAUUUUAUAGAUAUUACUGAAAAUUUAACUAUAAAUAGGGAAAAAAAUUGAUUUUAGCUAAUUUGGAAUUAAUAUUCAAUUAUUGUUGUGGAAAAAAACAAUUAUAAGAAAAUUGUCUCUCAUGCAAAUGAGAAACGAGAAAUGACAUUAAAUUGGAAAAAGAUAAAAAGAGUGCCAUAUUGACUAAAGUACAAAUUGCUUAAUCAACUAAUCAAAGAUAAUUAUAUUAAUUAAUUCAAUAGUCAAAAUUAUGACUUGAAAGAAACAAACAAAAUGUGAAGUCAAAGAGAUUCAAAAUCCAUGAAGGAGAGGAACAUAUACAAAUACAAAUACAUAUACAUAUACAUAUACAUACUUAUUCUGUCAAAUCUUUUUCUAUCUGAUAAGAGAUAUACUGUUGCUUUCUUAGCGGCCAAACAAACAGGGCACUGAGAAAUUCAUCUCUGGACCUGCUAUCAAUUAUCACAUAUGAUUGACGUGGAGAGCACGUGCAUCACUUUGGUUAGUCAACUUUGUUCCAUUGUAAAGCUGAAAUAACACUUUUUUUUUUUUUAAACAUUAACGUUGGUGGAAGAAGUCAAUUACGUAACAAUAAGAACGAUGAACUCAAUCACGUAAUAAUAAUAAUACAAAUCCGAUUUUUAGAAGUAAACUUUGUAGAAAGAUAAAAAAAUUUUUACAUUUGAAUUAAAUUACUAAUAAAUGCAUAUAUUAUUUUGUUCAAUUCUCCUCUUCCUGAAUAUUAAUAUAUAUAUAUAUGUAAAAAUAUGAAAAUUUUAAAUUUAAUAAUUUUUCUUUUUAAUUAAAGUAAUAUUUUUCAAAAUAUUAAAUGAUAAUAUUGCAUUACCAGUUUUGUAAAAGUUAAGAAUUUAACUUUUACUGUGUCCCAUUGUUUAAAAAAAUUCCCAGUGUAUUAAAGGAAAAAGGCCAGACUAACCUUGGUCAACACAUAAAAAAAGGGCAAAGCAAGUGCAAGAAUCAUUUUUAGCAUUCAAAUAUAGAACCCAAUUGUCUUGAUCGAGCAUCUUAUCGUUUUGCUCGUACACAGAUUUGGGACCGAGUCCCUAAUUGUCUUUGAAAUUUUUUCCUUGAGUAAAUAAAUAUUUUUUUACUCUUUCAAAAAAAAAAAAUAUAUAUAUAGAACCCAAUUGAUAACAAAGCUCAAAUCACAAGGCAAAGGAGUAGCAGCUAAGUGGUAAAGGGCUUCUUUAACAAGAAGACAAAAGAAGAAAUGGCUUCUACUUCUGCAUUGUCUCCCACUUUGCAUGUCAAUCAAAUGAUCAAAUGUAAAAUAAAAAAAAAAAAAAAAAAAAAAAAAAAUUAAGUAGCAGAAAGACUGGAAGACAAGACUAGCUUUGGCAAAGGUAAGUUUACCAGGAACUGCCUCAUUUGAAUUGAAAAUAAUGAGUAGCAGAAAAUGAUUUGAUUGUCCUUUUCUUUUGUUAUCGUUAUUUUAUUAUGUCAUUUCCUUUAUUCUUGAUUCUUCUUGUUGCUUUAUUAAUUUUUCUUCCCCAAGUUUCACUAGAAAGUGUGCAGGUGACUUUCCAUUCUGAAAUGGGAGCUACAAUUUUUGGCAUUUUAUGGGAAGAUGCCUUCAAUGGCCAUUUACCAAAAAAUGUCAUUAUUAAACAUACCUUGACAAAGAAAUCAAACCCACUCUUUUAAUUAAGUCCAUGUAUGCAUAGUUUAGCGACACCAAGCUUCAAUGAUCAGAAUUUUUGCACCAAUGCAUGAAAGUGCUAUUAUUAUUCUGAUAUUAUGGAGUCCCAUUCUCCACAAAACAGAUUUGAUUGAUUAAUAGUGUGUAGGGCCAUUUAAGGGUGUUGGUGGGCUAUUUAUGUGUAAUGGGCUCAGUUUUGGGUUUGUACUAUAGUAUCUAUUAUUAGGAUUUUCAGUUGGCAGAUAAGGUCAUUUAAGUAAAUAAUUACCCAUAGCAUAUGUUAUUGGUUCAAAUCGUUAUCCCCUCAUUAAUUAACUUGAAGAUCACCAAGACUAAGAUCCUGAAGUCUUUAAUUCACACAGAAGGUACCUAAACAUGAAGGGAUUUCUCGCUACUUGAGAGCAUUCAAGGAAUGCUAAUUUGCCAAAAUGCAGCCUAAUAAAACAAGGCCUGAAACCAAAAUCUAGUGUAGUGUCUAAAAAAGUUCCCAACUCAGCCUACCUGACACACAAAAUACAGAAACAAAAGAGCCCUUCAUCUUCCUUUUGGUAUCCCUGCUUGGCCUUCAAUCUUCUAGCAAACUGUCUUCAGUUCAUGUUGACUUCUGCUUCCGUCAUUGAGGAGAGAGAUACUGUUAAAAAGCUUGCACUAUAUCUGAAUAUUUUGCACAUUUGCCAUUGAUAAUUCACCAUCAUAGCCUUUGUUCACUCUACGCCUCUGUCUUAGUCUUCCACCAAUACUGUCCAAAUUUGGUUCAGUAGCUGCAGUCUUCUUCUUAAGCUUUGCACAACUCUCCACUUUAGAAGUACUAUCAGCAAUUUUGCCAUCCCCAACAUGCAUUUCCUUCUCUUUCUUCACCUCCUGAUUAGAGAGCAGAUAGUUGUUUAUAGACUGCUUGACAUCAGAAUUUUUCUCAUUUAUACCACUUAAUUCUGAAUCAAGAUGGUCAUUGGUUUUCAACUGUCCCAGCCUCAAGCUCUCAAGGAUAGUAUCAUGCUCUGUAGAUUGCAAUUGCAUUGCUUCCUCACUUUUAAGCUCAUUCUCUCUUUUUCCUUCAAAUAUAGGCAUUGACAAUCCAAAAUCGACAUAAACUUCCUCAUUGGUCUUUGUAGAUACCAUCUUCUCAGGCACUGCUUCACCAUCCGGAACAAGGAGAUUUCCACUGUAGGACGGUUGCUCUCUUUUCUCAAUCUUUAAACCACUUUCUCUCUCAUCUCUAAACAUAGAUUCUGGUAAUCCAGGAUGAUAAUGCUCCUCAUUAUUGACCUCUACAGAUUCCAUAUUGUCAUACCGUUCUUCACUGCCUGAAAAGGGUAAUGACCUCUUUGUUUGACAGUUGCUGGCCAGAAUUUUGCUAUUCGGCUCAGUCGUAGUCUUUAACUCAUCAUGAAUUGUCUCUUCAUAUUCAGGCAUUAAUGGCCUAAUUUCUUCAUUGGUAAUCUUUGAUGGCUUUUCCAUCUCUGAAAAGGGCAGAUACCUUUUCACUGAAACUUGAUUGGCAGUCACCAAUUCUUUUUCUACUGUAUUUUGUGAGCGUCGGGUUUGGAUCAGAUAGUGUGCAACUGACUUGUAACCCAAUCGUGAUAUCUACAAGAUAAACAAAAUGCUAAACUCAAUUUAUCUCCUGAAAAGUUGAGCCAGCUCUUCUUUUAGCAAAGAGUUUACCUUCUUGUAAAGAGGUCCGGUAGGAGCCCAUCCUUUUGCUUGCCGGCAAAAACUGCAGUUGCAAAUUCCACGACAGGGGGGACAUAUCCAAUUUGGAUUUUCUAUUGCUUCCAGUACAUGUUCUCCAUAUCUGCUUUCUCAUAAAACAAAAGGCUUUAAAACAUUAGAUUAUUUUAAAAUUACAGUUAAAAAAGCUCAUGAAAGUAUCAAAAUGCAAAGCAGAUAAAAGCAAAUGGAGAAUCUUUCAAACAAUUAUACCUCAUGUACAAACAAUCUCCACAAAACUGUCCUUGGACCAUCUUGCAUUUGCUGCAGUGGGUACGAUAACCAAGAGUUUUCUGCCUGUUAAAGACCCUUUCCUUCAGUUAAUGAUAGACACAGAUACCAUGAAGAGCACGACUUAAGAAGCCAAAUGCAUAUAACAUAACAGCUAUAUAAUAAAGAAAAAGAAAGAGACUGAGGAAACUUCGUUCUGAAUAUGUAUCUGUGUAAUGCAUUUUCAAGGUAUUAUGUCUAGCUGAUUGUUGUCCUAUAUUAAAACUACCCGCCUCUGUUGCUAUCACAUGACCUCCAAUUCACCGAACUAUCAUUAUUUCUUCAUUCAACUGUGAUAACACAGUUGCUGGUCCAAACUUCAAAACUACUUCCACAGCCUUGCCAGGGCUGCUAAGCUAAGCCAUUACCAACUUGGUCACCACUCUGCGUUACAAAUCGUCUGCCUCAUUCAAUCCGGAUAACACAUAUCAGCUCCAAAACCACAACUACAUACUGAUAGAAUGAGGCACCUGCUAACAGCAUCUAAUUUCUCCAUUAUGUUCCACCUUCAUCAAUUCUCUUACAUUUAUAAGCAACUCAGUUAGUUACACGGAUCAUGGACAAGCAUGCACAUUUAAGUUUUUCAAAUGCAAAGCAUUUUUAUGCUAUGAGAAUAUAACAAUAACAACUAAGCCUUAGUCCUAACUAGUUGGGGUCAGCUAUAUGAAUACUUUGUUUCAAAAUAUCAGCUUUGAUCAAAUGAAUAUCAAAUUAUGCUAUGAGAAUACAACUUCUAAAACAUAUUACAGGCAAAUGGCAUGAAAAAUUCUUGUUAGCAACUUCUAGAUAUAGCAGUUCUAGUGACAAUACUUUGGCAAAGGCCGACAGACUACACAACAGGCGUUACGCAUGCUUAUGCAAACUAAGAGGAUGUCAAUCAUAACCAGCAAUUUUACACCAUGAUCAAGUCAUGCACGCAUUGUGGUAUUUCCUUGUUAAAUUAAUAUUUUUUUUAUCACAGACCCUCAAAUAAUAAUCUUUUAUUGAAACCUCAAAUAAUAAUCUUAGAACUCAAUAAUCAAGAUCAUUAUCAUACCUACGAGGUUAAAAAGUGGACUCACCUGCAUUGAUGGCAAGUCUUUCCCUUAACCUGAUCAUAAAUCCGUUUUCCAUCUUUUCCAUACCCAUCUACAAAAAAUGUCCAGCUCCUGUCAGUACUUCCCAAAAGCUUCUCAUGCUCUUCUGUGUAAACCUCUGGCUUUGAACCCACCUCUAGCCUCACAUCUUCAUCUUCCAAUAAACCAUCCUUCUUUGCUAACACCGCUUCCGAGUAGCUAACAGGAGUAGCAUUGUGCAACCUAAAAAACCCCGCAAAGAAAUUUAAAACGAGAACACUCAAAUAUUAAUCAGUCAACAAAACUGAAUAUAAAUAAAUAAAAUUGUCUAGAUAAUAAAAUUAAAAAGACAUUAGGCGUAUAAAAGAAAACCCAGUCCAUUAAAGAUAAAAAGAAGCAAAUCAAUUGAUCAAUCAAGAUUGGUAUACAGAGAUUAUGACAUUACCUAGAGGAGCGGCGAAGAGGUCCAGGUGACUUAAGAGGAGAGGGACGUUUUGCUGGUGACGGGUUAUUUCUUUGGGUGCGUUUAGGAGCUGCAGAAGAGUUGAGCUUUUGAGAUAGGUCAAAGAGACCAAGUUUCUGCAUUCUUUCAAAGUUUGAUUUGAUUCUCUCUUCUCUUGAUUUCUCAUACAGUGACAUUUUUGGGGUUUGAUCAUCGUUGAUUUCUGGAGUAGGAUUUCCGUUGCAUUCUUCUGCAGAUUGUGAUUUUCUGGUUCCCAUAGUUGGCAAUCUCUGAGUUCUGUCUUUUUCUGUAUGAAGACGGUAAGCUUCACUUCACUCUCUCAACGGUCGACUUUUGAGGUUAACAUGGCAAGUGGGAGAGGGAAAAGGAAAGUUGGGCUGCGGACUUUCUAAAUGACAUUGAGGCCCUUCUACCAGUUACAAAAAUUGAUGAGCAUGUCGUUUCGUCCAAUGACCGCCUGAAAAAUUCUUUUCAAAAGCGUACUGGGCCUUACCGUCCAUAUAUGGGCCUUAGCCCAAUAUGAAUAUUUCAAGUUGACGCCUUCCUCACGACCUAACCCCAAGGAUCUUCCUCCCCAGAACAUUCUCAAUUCAAUUUUUUUUUUAUUUUUUAUAAUUUCCGUAUGCGUCACAUUUAUUAAAUUAGUUCAAUCUCUUUGAACUAGAAGAGAACCAUUUUGCGUAUAGAAAAAGCAAAAUCAUAACCUUCACAACACGCAGAGAAAUUUGCACCAAUGUUGAUAAACUACCCAUUUGAACAUUUUCUUCUUUAAUAGAGAUAAAUUAAAAGGUCAUACCAAAUUCAACAAUCCAAUAGAACAAGCUUGCAAGUUUCACCUAUGGAUUCUUUGUUUAUCUUAAAUACUCCUUUCUGCUGCAUCUAGUUUCAGAACAUCAUAAUCUUGUCCACUUUCAGAAAUUUAGAAGCCAUGGCCUUAAAGGUUACUCAAACCUUGGCCUUGUUGGUUGUUUUUGUUACUUUGAGUUUUAGAUUUCAAUAUUGUAAUGCAGCUGACUCUUCUGGAUUGGGAGCUUCUUUUAUUUUUGGUGAUUCUCUAGUUGAUGCUGGAAAUAACAAUUACCUACCAACUUUGUCUAAAGCAAAUAUCAAGCCUAAUGGAAUUGAUUUUAAGGCUUCCGGCGGAAACCCAACCGGCCGGUACACCAAUGGGAGAACCAUUGGCGAUAUAAUAGGUAAAUCUAAUUAAUUUCGAGCUAUGUUUUCUUAUAUUUGUUAAUUGAUUUAUUGAUAAUUCGUUUACAAUUCUUGUACUAUAAGAUCGACCAUAUACCAACUAGCUUAUUGCUUAAUUUUAAUUUAUGCAUUUGUUUCAUUUUUGUUUUAGGGGAAGAACUAGGGCAACCAAAUUAUGCUAUUCCAUUUCUAGCCCCAAAUUCAACUGGGAAAGCAAUACUGUAUGGUGUCAAUUAUGCUUCAGGAGGAGGAGGGAUUUUGAAUGCAACUGGAAGACUAUUUGUUAGCACUUAAUAAUUCCCAUAAUUAUUUUUAAAAAUCAUUUACAUAAUUAAUUAUCUAAUUGAAUAAUAACACAUGAAUAAUAUUGUUGCAGGUUAAUAGGCUAAGUAUGGACAUUCAAAUUGAUUAUUUCAACAUUACCAGAAAACAAUUUAAUCAAUUGUUAGGUCCAACAAAGGCAAAAGAAUAUAUUAGGAGGAAAUCCAUCUUCUCCAUCACCAUCGGAGCAAAUGAUUUCCUGAACAAUUAUCUACUUCCAGUUUUAUCUGUUGGUGCAAGAAUCACUCAAAGUCCUGACGGUUUCAUCGACGAUAUGCUCAGUCACUUAAGAGAACAGCUUACUGUAAGUAAAUUUUAAUUAGAAUUAAUUAAAAUUGCGUUUCAAUAUGUUCAUUUACUAACUCUUUGGUGGCCACAGAGAUUAUAUAAAUUGGAUGCUCGAAAAUUUGUAAUUGGAAAUGUCGGACCGAUAGGUUGCAUACCAUACCAGAAGACUAUAAAUCAAUUGAAAGAGAAUGAAUGUGUGGAUUUGCCUAAUAAGUUGGCAAAUCAGUAUAAUGCUAGAUUGAAAGAUUUGCUGACUGAAUUGAAUGAGAAUCUUCCUGGAGCUACCUUUGUUCAUGCCAAUGUCUAUGAUCUUGUCAUGGAAGUCAUCACGAAUUAUGAUAAAUAUGGUGAGUUAUAUAUAUAUAUAUAUAUAUAUAUAUAUACAAUUACGAUAAAUAAUGACCUAAUGCAAAAAUUUGACCCUGUAUUUUCGAUGAUUAUCCUUGUGGCCUCCUAAAUUUUACGAGGAACCCAUCAUGACCAUACACUUUUACAUUUCAAUAAUAAUUAUGCUACUCGCUAAAAUAAAAUACAGAAGAGUAGGUUUAUAAUUGAAUUUUUUGCAAAGUUUACGGGCCACAAGUAUAAUUAACCAAAGUUUCAGGGUCAAAUUUAUAUAUUAGGCCGAUAAAUAAUGAGAUAUGUGCAUAUGAUUAGAGUUAACUGGAUGUGAAUAUUUUUGCAGGGUUUACAACAGCAACAAGAGCUUGUUGUGGAAAUGGAGGGCAAUUUGCAGGGAUAAUUCCAUGUGGACCUCAAUCUAGUAUGUGCGAGGAUCGUUCCACGCAUGUGUUUUGGGAUCCUUACCAUCCAAGUGAGGCUGCCAAUCUUCUACUUGCCAAGCAAUUGCUUGAUGGAGAAAAAAAAUACAUUUCUCCUAUGAAUCUUAGGCAACUCAGAGAUCUUUGAUUUUCAUUUUUCAUGUGUAAUGAUUUUCUUUUAUUGAGCAAAAUCUAAUUUCUUCCUCCAUUAACAAGAUUUUGCUCUAUACCCUUUUUACCUUUUUCUUUUGUUUUCCUCUUCUUUGUUUCACAUUUUCAUUCUCCUUUCAUGUUGCCUUGCAAUAUGGUUUGAGAGUACAAUUUUAAACAAAAAAACUUAAUAAUUAAUUUUUAAUAGGGCCAAAUUAAGGCUUGUCUCUUUGUGUUUGCAUGUGCUCCGAUCUACAAGUGUGAUAUUUGGCAAUGAAGGGUACUACCGGGAGAAGAGAUAGACCUAAACUAUGUGAAAGGAAGUUAUUCCAAAUGACAGAUUUAGAUAUGAAUAUUUCAGUAUAGAGAUAAAUGAUUCAUAUAAUUAAUCAUAAUUAAUUAAAAUCAUAUUAAGGGAUUUAAUUAGGUGAUUAAUUGAAACCAGAGCUAGCAAAAUAGUUUACACCAAAAUCAAUUUUAUCGCUAAGAAAGUAAAAAUAUUUAACAGAAAUAUAAAUAAUUAUUGCUAAAAGAUUAAGGUACCUAGGAUUGUAUCCACGGAAUCUUAACUCGCUUUAAAAGAUAUAUAAUUAAAGAAUUGACUCAUAGAAAUUUUGCAUUGAGAAGAUUUGAACUCAUGACAUUAUGAGUCCUUCAAUCUCUUACAUGCACUUAGCUACUGUGCUAUCCAUGCAAUUUCCUUUAUUAUUUAUAUUGCUUAUUGCCAUUAAUAUUUAUAUUAAUAUUUGAAAAUAAAAAUUAUAGUAUUAUAAAAUAUUUUCACCCAUGAAAAUAAUGGGAAUUAAAGAGAAGGAAUCAGAAACGAAGAAGAAGAAGCCAAAAAGAAAAAGAAAGAGCAGAACGAGGAAGAGAAAAAGAGAAGGGAAAAUUGUCAGGUAUUAUGGACGACCGAAUAAGCAGACAAUGGGUGCUGACUGAGUGAGGAGGUUCAACAAUGUUGUCUUGAAAGCGACACAUGAUAUUGUCAAGUAGACAUUUAGAUGGCUACUGAGGCCGCGCGUGCCACUGUAAGAGAAUCCCCACCUCCAUCAUCCACCGACACCUCAGGUCCUUCACUGACACCUGUCUCUGUUUACCGGACCCCACCUAUCUCUUUCCCCUUCCUACUAGUCCUUGACUUCUUUUCUUCACUUAAAUAUCUAUAUACCAAAAAAUUAAAAAAAAAAAAGAUUUUAGGCGGUAAAAUUCCAAUUUUUUAAAUCUUAAAAAAAAAAAAAAAAUCAUUUUGGUUGGUUUUUAUUUGUUUUGGUCCAAUUGCAGUACAAAUUCUGGUCUAGUAUUGGUGAGGCAGAGCUUGUAUUACUUGUUUAGGAAGAGAGAUAAAAGGGUGAAAAAGACUUUUAACUUUUGUUGGAAAAUUUAGUGAAUCUACUUUUAGCAUGAGUUAGUCUUCCUGUGAUAUCUGCUAAUCUGUACUAGAAUUUACAAGAGAGAACAAAAAAGAAUUAAAUUUAUUUAUUUUCCUGAAUUUUUUGAUAAAAAAAUAUAACCAUAAAAUAUAAAUAUUCAAAUUCUAAAUUUUAAAUUUCACGUUCUUUGAAAAAAUUAUUAAAUUUAUUUAAAUUACAAUAAAUUAUCGAGUAAAUUGACUAUAUUGUUCUUAAUUUAAUACUAAUUCUUUAAGAAACCAUUAUAUUGAAUUAAUAAUUAUUGAUAAUAUACAAAUUGUAAAUAUGAAAAAAAAUAAAUUUUAUUACUCAUUGAAACCAUAAAUGUGACAAAUAUGUUAAAAUAAAUUAUUUUCUUAAAUGCGAUAAACAUUAUGAAACGGAGAGCAUUUGAUCGGUGAUAUGUGAAUCAUGAAUAAUGUUAGGAGGUUGAUUAGUAGUAUGAACUUAGGGGAAAUUAGUAGAAUAUUAAGUGAGUAGUUGAUAGCUUGUGCAUGUUAAGUUGAGAAUUUAAGUGUUUAAUUCAAGAAAAUUAAGUAGAGGACAAGAGAUUUAUGUUACCAUAAACGUGCUAUUCAAAAUGAAAAGACAUGGACCUUCCAUCCAAUGACUUCAACGUUUGUUUAUGCGUGCUUUGCAUGGGUACCACACGCACCUAUUAGAAAAAUAACCUUAUCCUGAUCAAAAUCAACGAAAAUAUAAAUUUUUAUUAAAAUAAUAAUAUUUUUGAUUAUAUAUUUUAAAUAUUUUUUUAUUAGUGAAAUAAAAAUUUGGCCCUUAAUAUUUUUUUUAAUAUUCCUUUAACCAAAUUUAUCCCUCUUUACUAUAAAUCAUACUCUGGUUGAAGAUAAUUUAAUUAGGGCAUUUUUUAUUAAAAAAAAAAAAAUUAUUGUAGAAAUAACAAGAUCUUAUAAUGUUAAUAAAAAUUCUCAUAAUAAUAAAUUAUAUUGCCACAAUCAAUCAUCUUGGAAUGGAAGGAUUCUUUUUCAAAAAAAACACACACACACACACACACAUUGGAAGAGUUAUAUGCAAACAUUGACUAAUGACAACGACAGGUGUAACAUAAUGUGACAUGAGGAGUACGUUUGAGUGGAAUAACGUCCGUGGGAUUUAACAUUAACCAAAAGAAGAAAGGAAUCGACGAUGAGGAUGGAAGGAGAGGAGAAUAGUGUGUCCAAAGAAAGGAAACAGUGCUGUUUGGUAACGAGAACAGUGUAGCGAGAAAUCCGGGAAGAGAUUGGAGAUGGGGCAGUACGGAGGAGGAAUCUGAUGCGGACAUGACGCGUCCGAAAUCAGAGGGAAGACCCAAUUAUUGCUUCCCACGCUGCCCCGACAUCUAUGAUUCUGUCGGUCCUGUCCCACCUCAGACACCCCCUCCCUCUCUCUAAUAACCACCGCUGCUACCACCACCUCCACGUCUAUCACCACCACCACCGCUACCACAAUCCAUCAGUCCGUCUCACUCUCACAUUCUUGGCUUCUUUUGCCGCUCAGCUUCUUCAAAUUUUGGCUCUCUCUCUUUCUCAGUGCAUUAGACAUGAUUCAACCUCAACUCACAGUAUAUCAAAUUUUGAAGAAUUUAAUCAAUCGAAUUACAUUCUUUUCCAUAAAAUAAAAUUCAUAAUACGAUCUACCAAUAAUGGUGAGUAUUCGAUUAAUCAAAUUGAAUUAGCUCAAUUUCGAUUUAAUUUAGUAUAUUUUUAUGGCAUUCAAAUCUGAAAUUAAAUAAUAUAAUAAUCGAUUCAAAUAGAAUUAAAUUGAUUUAAUUCAAUUAUUUUAAACCAAAUAAACAAUUUUAAACUUAAAAAUAAAUUCGUUUAAUUACGUAUGGUAAUCGAAUUUCUAAAAUAACAGAUGAAAAUAAGCAUUGUGUUUGUGUGUCCAUGGAUUUAUCUAAUAAUGGGUUUGAGAAUGAUUUAAAAGUGAAUAAGUGUGUAUAGGAUCUUGCGUAGCCCACAAAAAAUCUAUGCAUUUUUGUGUUGGAAGCAUGGGUGUAUGUAUUUUUUGUAUGUUCUUGUGAUUAGUAUAUUAAUCAAUGAAUUAAUUAAUUAAUUAAUGGCACAAUCUAUGCUUUGAAAUUUAUUAGUUUUAAAUAGUCUAUGCAUGACUAGGGGAAGAAAAAGAAACUGAUACUGACACAUCAAUUGCACAAAUCUAUUUCAAAUGAUUACACUUGUAUGACAAUUUUUUAAUCUAAGUUGGAAUUUCAGUCACAUGGUGAAGAGAUUGCUGUGAGCUGCAAUCCACUAGUAUUAUUCAUUAAUCAUAUAUUAAAAACAUUAUUUUUCUUCAAUUUUAUUUUAAGCAUAGCCAACAUUGGAAUAAAAACUUUAUAUAAUCCACCAUAAUGACUUUAGAAUUAACGCUUAAUUUAUAAUAAAAAUUUAAGCAUUUUCUAUUGAGAAUACUUCAUAAAAAAAUAUAAACAUUGAAACCGUCCAUAAACUUAAUUAAUUUCUGUUUAUUCUUAAAGGUAAAAGUUUUAAUUUAACAAAAUUUACAUAGUGAAAGAUCACACUCAUAAUCUAAAUUACGACGAUCGUCCUCGCAAAUAUCGUUUGAUGCUGAAACUUCCCAUUCAGGUUUGUUAAGAUGGAUUAUUCUAGUCUGUAAUUGGGAAGACUAGUACUGGUUGGUUAAUUGAUUAAGGACAAUCUAAUUCUAGUAUAUAAAAAGAAUGGAAAAAGGGCAGGCUAUCUGUCUCUUAGCAUAAUGGUUGUAUUAUUGGGAUUUGGAAUGUAGCUAGAGCUACCUUUGUUUGCUCCAAAUUCUACUCAGUGCAAUCCUUAUCUAGAGCAGCCUCUCUCUUUCUAAUUAAUGGAAACAAAAACGAAGUGACAUAAUGUGUUUUCUUUUUGGUUUUUCUGUUUUACUUUCCUUCUCAACAAUAUGAAAAUGAAAUAAAUAUAACAAAAUGUGUCCUUUUUUCUUUUUUUUUUUACUUGUAUAAAAUUAAUUUGAAGAGUGUUAUUGAAAAGGAAAAGUAUUCAUGUAAUGCAAUUCAGGAACAUAUUAGCAAUUAUGGUGAUGUAGACAAUAAGUUUUAAAUUUAGAGUAUUAGUUUGAAGAAUAAUUCUAAUUAUCACUUGGACUAUAAUUAGUGACCUAUGGGCCCUUGUUUUGAUCAAUAAUGCUAAUGCCUCUACCUAACUUAUCACAUCCUUCCCCACCACCAUAGAAAGAUUAGUAGAUAGAUAGAGAUAGAUAGAAACUAUCUAUUCUAAUUCUAAAUGAAGAAAUUAAAAAAAGAAAAAUAGCAAUAUCAUAAAUUUAACUCUGAACUUUGACUGAUGAUUCUCUAGAUUUUGAAAAAGUGUUGAUUCGGUAUCUUUCUUUUUCACAUUUUAUUUUAUUAAUGAAUAUAAUUAUUAUUGAAAUUUAAAAAUUAAGGGAAUUACAAGAAUAAUCGAUGAUACGAGAUUCAAGAAAUCAGAAGAAUAAUGAACAAACACAUGGUCAAAUUUAUGCAUUAUCCUCUAUAUUUCAAUUACCUUUUUUGCUUUUAUCUAUGCACAUUCAUACAUACAUACAAAACACGAGCCGCAUACCCUAGCUGAUUAAUUAAUAGCCGAUCCAUUCUGGAGCCGACUGAAAUGUCGUGCCUAACAGAACACUGAAAAGCUGCACUCUCUCUCUCUUCUCAUAUAUCCCUCAGAACUCGUUUCAGUGUCCUCCAGAUUCUCUCUCUCUCUCCAUAAAAGGCCCAUCUCUGCUCUUUUGCCACCCACACAAACACAAACACAAACAAUCCAUACCCAAUUCCACAUUCUUCUUUGCUGUCCAUUUUCUCAACUCUUUUAAUCUUUAUCUUCUUCUUUCUCGAAUAUUGAUCAUAACUAACCAAAAGCAAAGCAGAACAAAACAAAGAAGAACGAAACCUAAAUUACCCACUUCCCAUUUCCCAAAAUGCCAUCAGACUCUUCUUCCACUGAAACUAGAAGAUUAACUAAACCCCAUAACACAGGAGCUCCACCGCCAGACCAAGAACACCUUCCAUGCCCGCGCUGCGAUUCUACUAACACUAAGUUCUGCUAUUACAACAACUAUAAUUUUUCCCAGCCUCGUCAUUUCUGUAAGUCUUGUCGCCGUUACUGUCCCCCCGGCGGCACCCUUCGUGCCAUUCCGGUUGGUGGUGGCACUCGGAAAAAUGCUAAAAGAUCACGCACCACUUCUAGUGGUUGUACUGUAGUAGGGCCUAUGACGGCCAACACAGCUGACCAUAACAUUCCAUUACCGGCUACACCAGUACUGGUCCCACUUAUGGCCAAACAAGGAAAUUCUAUACAGUUUGGCUGCGGUGGCGGUGAUGGGAAGGGGAAUGGGUGUGGUUCUAGUGGUAAUUCUACAGUAUCUGGUAGCUUUACUUCUUUGUUGAAUACUCAGGGCCCUGGAUUUCUAGCAUUGAGUGGGUUUGGGCUUGGACUUGGAUCUGGGUUUGAAGAUAUGGGCUUUGGGCUUGCAAGAGGAGUCUGGCCUUUUCCCGGUGUAGGAGAUGGUGGUGCUGGCGGUGUUGGUAGCAAUGGCGGUUCUGCUGGAGGAAUGAGUAACACGUGGCAAUUUGAGAGUGGUGAUAAUGGAUUUGUAGGUGGGGAUUGCUUUUCUUGGCCAGAUCUUGCUAUUUCAACCCCAGGAAAUGGUCUUAAAUGAGAUAUUGUUCUUUUAGUAGUUCUUGUUUUUUCUCUGAUGGGUUUAGACCCAAUUCUAGGAAAAAAAAAAAAAAAAAUUAAAGAACCUUGUUUGAUGGGUUUAGUUAAUUAAUUACUACUUACUAUUAAGUGUUGAGAAGAUAAUUAGGUUUGAAAUUAGAAAGAAAAAUAUGUAACUUUUCUUUACUCUAUUUCAUGUGAUUUUGUUAGUUUGAUGUACCUCUUUUUGUGUAGUUUUCAUAUACAUGCCACCCUUUAAAUUCUCUUUUCCUCUCUAGCAAAUUUUUAAUACAAACUUUUUAUUGAAUGAUUAUGGACCGACUAAUCUUAAUUUAAUAUGAAAUUCACAUUUUCUUCUAUUCAUUUCAUGAAUGGGUACAAAUGGAAUUUCCCUUUUAGAGUUUGCAGCAUAUACUUCAAUUUGUAUUUAAUAUAUAAUAAUUGACUGAUUUGAUUUUUGAGGCCCACAUUUAAAUUUUAAUUCUUAGUAUAAUUUAUAAUGAUUUGCUAGUUCAACAUUAAUUGAGUGCAAUCAUUCUCAUUGCAUAAGCAUCACCCAAUUUCUACUCUCCUAUCCCAAUGCAUUACCUGCUCUACAGAAUUCUGCAAUUGAAGUUUCAUAUGCCAGGACCCACAGAGUUGGACCUCUAGAACCUCAGCCUAAUGGUUAAUCAAAUUGCAAAAAUUAUAUUUUCUUUUAUUUUGCAAUUAUUAAAGGAGCAUUUACAUUAAUUAUGAGAUAAAAAAUUAAUUAUGGUGUCGCUUGGUGUUUAUAAUUAAAUUUAACUUCAAUUUUCAUAUCUUUUUCAUUUAAUCAGAUAUUUUGAAUUCAAACCAUGAAAUUUAAUUAGUAAAAAAAUUAUAUAUCUUAUUAGACCAUUUUUAUCGUUGAAGAUACAAUUAUUUUCUUACUCUCGUAACCUACUUGAUACUUCGUUAGUAACAACGUUUGCAUUUUUUAUUGAAAGUGACAUAUUAUCUUAAUAUAGGGUAUAUUAGAAAAAUGCAAGUAAAAUUUAAUAUUAUUCUAAUAAUAUUAAUUGCUUUGCUUAAUCUAUGUAAAAAUAAAAAUAAUAGUAUCUUUUUAGGCCAAAGAGAGUAAUAUAAUAAAAAAAUUAAAUUAAAUAAGAUAGUGUUAUUUUUCUUUAACAUAAAAUAAAAAAGUUAAAGCCAAAUCAAACUAAAUUAUAUAUGAUAGACAUUAUAUAUAAAAGUACGAGGAUAUUGGGUUCCUAAAAUGCGCCGCUAAAUUUUCAAAUUGACAAAAAUAUUAUGGAUCGAGAACUUUAAUUUUAUUGGUUAAAAAAUAAAUAUAGUUUAAUUUUAAUUGUUUACGUUAAUUUACUAUUUGAAUCUAAAUUUUAUUAAAAAUUUUAAUCUAAUUUUAAAUAGAAAAUUUUCUAAUUUAGUCUCAUUUAAAUUUGGAUAAAAAUAAAAUAAAAUAUUAUUAUUUGGAAAUUUUAAUUUUAUUGGUUAACUGAUUUCCUAUUAUAUAAUGAUUUGCUACAUGUAAGGGGAAAAAAAAAAAAGGAUUACGUUAUAUUAAUCCUAUUAUACUACUUUCUACAUUGAAGGAAAAAAAAACAACUGACUAAUUUCUUUCUAUUAUAUUCAUACCUUCUAUACGUGGGUAUAUAUAUAUUCAAAAAAAAAAAAUAUAAAUGAAGAUAUUAUUAAUAUAAAUUAUUAUUAAUUAUAUAUAUAUAGAUUUUGUUUUAUAUAUGAGUUUGAAAAUUAGCUUGUUCGACUCAAUUAGGACUAUUAACUCGAUUAGGAGUAAGAAAUUAGCUUAUUCUACAAAUUAUAUGAAAUCAAUUAUUUACAUAAGCUAGUGUAAAAAAAUUUAUAGUGUUAUCAAAAUCCUUAAUUAUAGCGGUAUAUAUAAUAAAUCCCUCUUAAAUUUUAGGGUGUCACAAUUUUUUUUUUAAAACUUAUAGGUAUUAAUUUAGAUAUUUGGCUACAUAAUUAAUUAUUUCUUCUAUAUGUUUAGAUUUUGAUUUGAUAGAAUUAGAAUAAUAAGGAGAUGACUACAAUAAAUUGAAUUUUUUUAAAAGAAACCGAGCAAAGCUGAAAUUUGUUUAGAACCAAAUCAAACUAAUUUAAUUAAGCUUAGUUUGAUUUACCUUUUUGAUUUUUCCUUAUUUUUUAAGAUUUUUAUAACUUAAAUAGGUUUAAAAAAAAAAGAAUUUUUGAUUUUUCUGUGUACACUAAAAUCAAACUGAUAAAUUUUAAAAUCAAAUUCAUUUGAUUCGAUGGAUUCAGUCUAUUUUUUCAAACAGUGCUCAACCUAAUCCAAUCGAUGAAAUAUGGUAUGGAUAUAAAAAUUUCCAUUUAAAAUUUUCAAGGAAAAUUUCUUUUCCUAAGAUAGCAGAUAUCUAUUUACGUUAAAUUAUAUAUAUAUAUAUAAUCAGUCCAUCUUAUAUUGUCAAAAUCAUUGCAAAUCAUAAAUUCAUAACUAAGUGCUCGUUAAGAUUUUCCAUGGCUCGUCCUAUCUUUAGCAUUUUAGUAGCUUUUUUGCUUAUUAUCAAGUUCCAUGAUUUUGCUGGUAUGUUAUAUUAUUAUUAUUUUUCUGAAAAAUACUAUCAUAUUUGUUUAUUAUUAUACUUUGUAUAGAUUUUUUUGAGUCUGUUGGGUAAAAUUAACUGUUUAAGUGGUUAGUUAUUAACUGUUUGAGUAGUCCUAAAACACUACAAGCUAAACAUUAGAUUAGUUAUUUUUUUUAUAAAACGCUGCCUUAACUUCUAAAUGAAUUGGUUACACAGUUUAAACAAAAUUUUUUCAUCCCUUACUUCUUAUUAAGUUACCCAGUUUUUUCCGAAUGCUAAUUUUGUUGCCUGGUAAACCACCAUUGGUGCUAUGCAGGAGCAGAAAUUGGUGUGACCUUCUCAAGACUAGCAGACAACUUUCCACCAGCACAAGUAGCUGUAAACUUUGCUGAAUCGAAAGGCUUCAAAAGAAUUCGUCUUUACAAGCCCCAUCACGAUGCUUUACAAGCAUUGAAAGGUCAGGGCAUACAAGUGAUCUUAGGAGUUGGCGACGACGAAGUUGAAGCAGUAAGUAAAUCCGCUGCACCGAAAUGGGUCAAAGACAAUGUUGUGCCAUAUGCAAAUCAAAUAACCAUUAUAGCCAUAGCUAUUGGACAUGAUCUAAUCCCUAAUAGUAAAUUAGCAGUUUACGUUCUUCCUGCACUGCAAGCAAUGAAAGAAGCACUGGAAGAUCAUGGGCUUACUCUUAUUUCUGUAACAACGCCAUUUACAUUAAAUACACUUCUUACACAUUUUCCUCCAUCCCAUUCAACUUUUGAUCCGCAAAAGAUUUAUCUUAUUAAACCCAUUAUCAAUUUCUUGGCAACUCACAGUCCUCUUCUUUUAUGUGAUAUUUACCCUUAUGAAGCUUAUCUAAUGGACUCUCACCUUGUUAGUUUAGAUUAUGCUUUGCUUAAUAAGACAAAUGUUGAGGUUCUAGAUGGUCCAUUCGAAUAUACCAAUAUGCUUGAUGGUUUAGUAGAUGCUUUUUACAGUGCAAUUGAAAAACUUGAAGCAGGACCUGUUAAGAUUGUUGUGAGUGAAACUGGGUGGCCGUUUUCUGAAAAAAUAUAUGCUUCUGCUCAAUAUGCAAGAGCGUAUGCUUCAAAUGUGUUCAAACGGGGACAAGCAAAUACAGGAACACCGAAGAAACCUUUUUGGGCAUUGGACGUUUUUGAAUAUAACUUGUUUUUUCAAAAUGAUGCUCCUCUAGAUAAGAAACCAUAUGCUUUAUUUUACCCUAAUAUGUCUGCCAUAUAUUUUAAUUAGGGUUUGUAUUGGAUAUUGUAAAAUCUUAUCACUUUUUUAUUUUAUAACUUAUUGUGUGUAAGAAUAAAUGUGAAAUAAUUUAUAUAUUUUAAGAUUUGCUGUCUGAAGUUUUCAUAUUUUCCAAAUUCAGUUCAAAAACAAUUCCUUACAAAUUAUAUUUUGCCCACUCAAAAUGUUAAAAAUUAAUAUUUCACAGCAUUUGUUUCAGCCCUUGAACUUUAUUUUCUAAUUUCACCCGACACUUGAUAAUGCAUUUCUUUCUUUUUCUUUUCUUUUUUUUUAAUUUUUUUUUGUUAUUUGUGUAUACUUAUCAAUGCUGGCUAUAAUGCAAAGUAAGAGUUCAUUGAGAUAAUAAAUAUUUUCUAUGUAGAUUAGGUUAAAAUCUAUUGCAUUUAAAUUAAGAAAAACAUUGCCUACUCCUUGCGUAUAUCCAGUUAUCCAUUCAUAUGCCAAAUCAAUUAAAAAAAUGUUUUUGGCUGUAAUGGGAUGUUUUUGAUCAUUCAUUGAAAAAAAAAUGAUAGAACAAUAAUAAAUUAAAAAAAUCUCUAUUGAUUGAUUUGUGUACGAUAAAUAUUUAUUAGAGACUUAACUGUAAUUUAUAUAUAAGACCUAAUUAUAUUUUGUGAACUAAAUAUUAUAUUGUGCAUAGAAUUUGAUUACGAUUAUUUCUAAUCAUUCUUCGACACUCAAUUGAUGAUCAAUCACUCCAAAAUAAUUAUUCAAUUCGUAUUUCAAACACUUAUUUAAUAAGGAUUCCAACUACAACUUUAAUCAAUAUCUUUCUACAAAACUCUCUACACAGUUAGGCAAUAUCUACGCAAUAGGCAACAUAGUAUCUAUUUAAUUGGGAUUAUUUAUUAUUCUUUUACUAAGUUAAGAAUCAAAGUGGUUAUUUGAAAUAUCCCGAAUUUUUAUUUUCGAAACUUUCAAAUUUAAUUUAAACCAAAAAUCGAAAAUUUUUACUAUGUGGACUGUAAUUAUAAUACAGUUCCAAAUUCGAGCCCAAACUUUCCGAAUUGGCCCCAAGCCCAAAAGCAAAUUAUUCGAAAUCUUCGAUUUGAAAACACUUAAAAUUUUUGAGAAAUAAUAUGAAACUCCGGUAAUUAAUUUAUGAUGAAUAUAUAUAUAUAUAUUUAAAUACACAAUUAAAACGAAUAGAAAAUUUAUUAGAAGAUAAACCAAUUGUAAAUGAGAAUGUGAAAGGUAAAGAAAAGGUAAAAACUCAUAUGUUUAAACCUUAUCAAAUUUCUCAAUCUAGUCAAAAAGAAUUUGUACAUCAAUUAAAAGAUCAAUUAAGUAAAAUUCAAGUUAGAUCUGCGACUACCCAACAUGUAGCUCAGGAUACUCCUCAAUCAUCAGCAUCAAGAAACAUAAAUAUAAUUGAAGAAAACACCAACUCUGAUGUUAGUGAACCUGACUCAGAAAAUAUUCAACAAUUUGAAAUCAAUCCUAUAAAUCAUCAUAGAGAAAUAGUAAAUAGAGCACCAGACUUAGGAAUUGUUGAUAAACCUAAUACUAUAUCUCAAUUUAAAUAUAAUGCUUCAACAAUCUAUGAAUGGAACAUAGAUGGUUUAAGUGAAUAUAAUAUCUUAAGUAUUUUGCAACAAAUGACAAUGGCUGCAAAUGCUUAUAAAACACAGUCAAUCAUUUCUGAUAAAGCUAUAGCAGAAAUCUUAAUUGCUGGAUUUACCGGCCAACUUAAAGGAUGGUGGGAUUAUCAUCUCACUGACCAACAACAUUUAGAAAUUCUAAAUUCAAUUCAAAUAAAUGAUGAAGGUGAACCUAUAUAUGAUGAAAAUGGUGAAGUAAUUCAAGAUGCGGUGUCAUCUUUAAUUCUCACCAUUUCACUUCAUUUUAUAGGAGAUCCAUCUCACUUAAAAGAUAAAAAUGCCGAGUUACUUAGUAAUUUAAAAUGUAAACAUUUAGGUGAUUUUCAAAAUUAUAAAACGACUUUUCUCACUAGAUUAAUGUUAAGGGAAGACUCUAAUCAAAGCUUUUGGAAAGAAAAGUUUUUAGCUGGGUUACCUUAUUUCUUGGGAGAAAAAGUUAGAAAUCAUAUUAAACAACAACAUGGUCAACCUAUACCUUAUAGUAAGUUAACCUAUGGACAAUUAAUUAGUAUAAUUCAAAAGGAAGGUUUACAAAUAUGUCAUGAUCUAAAACUUCAAAGAAAAAUAAAAUAUGAAAUGCAAAAAACUAAAAAAGAAUUAGGAUCAUUUUGUAAGCAAUUUGAUUAUAAUUUCGUAUCAAACCAACGAUGUGAUGGUCAAUGUUCUAAAACAAAUAAACCUAAAAAAUAUUAUAGAAAUAAAUACUCUAAAAAACAAUAUAGAUAUACACCUAGUCAAGAUAAAUUUUAUAGUAAAAAGAAGACAAAAUCUUCUUAUAGAAACAAAAAUAAACAACCUUCUAGAUCUACCACUAAAACUUCUUAUAAAAAUUUAACUUGUUACAAUUGUGGUAAAAAAGGGCAUACAUCUAAAUUUUGUAAAUUUAAUAAAAGAUUACAUGAAUUAAAUUUGGAAGAAAACGUUUUAAGUAAAAUAUACGAACUCUAUAUUGAUUCGGAUUCUUCGGAAUCUGAGACUAAUGAAAGUGAAAAUCAAAUUGAUGAAUUAGGAACUACUUCAAGUUCUUCCAGUUCAUCAAAAUUUUCUUUAAACAUGUUAUCUAAAGAUCAAAGCAAUUUAUUAACAGUAGUUAAUGAUAUUGAAGAUCAAGAAACUAAAGCUAAACUUCUUAAAAAACUAAUAAACAGUUUUGAAGACGUAGAUGAAGUAAAAAAUAUUACUCCUAAAAUUCAGUCUAAUAUUUAUGAUUUAACUACCAUUUUAAAUAAAAAUCAACCUAAAAAGGUCGAUAUAGAUGACUCUACUAAAGAAUUAUAUAAAGAAAUUAAGAUGCUAAAAAAUGAAGUAAAAGAAUUAAAAACCCAACUUCAACAAAAUUCUAAAAAAAUAAAAAUAUUAGAAUCUCAACUUAUUUCCAGUUCUUCUUCAGAAGAAGACGAACCAGAUAAUAAUUUAAAAAUAAAUGAAUUAGAUGAAGAUGUAGAUUGUAAUUUUCUCAAUUUAUUACAAGAAAUCACUUCACGAAAAUAUUUAGUAAAAAUAAACAUUCAAAUAAAUGAUUUUGUGAUAGAUGCAAUUGCACUCUUUGACACAGGUGCAGAUUUAAACUGUAUAAAAUCUGAUCUAGUUCCUAAAAGAUAUUGGUUAAAAACUAGUGAAAAAUUAAGUACAGCCAACAAAUCUAAACUUGAAAUUAUAGGAAAAACAGAUGCAAUAAUCAUAGAUCAAGCCUUAGAAAUAAACACAGUAUUUUUACUUUCACCUCAGAUAAAUUAUAUGGUAAUAUUAGGCACUCCAUUUAUAAAUCUCAUCACACCAUAUUCAGUUAAAGAGGAUUGUAUUAAAUUUAAAAUAAAAAAUUGCAAAGCUCAAUUGGAAUUUACGGAAAAACCUAAAAAGAAACAAUUAAAUUUACUAAAAGCUCAUUCUAUUAAAAUGUUAGAAAUAAAUUCUUUAAUCAAAUCUAAAGAAGAAAACUUAAAAGAUUUGAAAAAUAAUGCAUGUUUAAAUAGAAUUAAAAACCAAUUAAAUUCUGAUGAUAUCCAAAAUAAAAUCUCAACUCUAAAAAAUUUUAUGGAAAACAAAUUAUGUGCUGACCAUCCAAAUGCUUUUUGGAAUCGUAAACAACACAUAGUGGACUUACCAUAUGAAAAAGAUUUUGAUGAAAAAACCAUUAAAACUAAAGCUAGACCAAUUCAGAUGAGUCCUGAAUUGAUUGACCAUUGUAAAAAUGAAAUUCAAGAUUUACUUAAUAAAAAAUUAAUUUCUAAAUCUAGAAGCCCAUGGUCUUGUGCAGCUUUUUAUGUAAAUAAAAACGCUGAAAUAGAACGAGGUGCUCCCAGAUUAGUAAUAAAUUAUAAACCAUUAAAUACAGCUUUAAAAUGGAUUAGGUAUCCUAUUCCAAAUAAAAAAGAUCUAUUAAAGCAACUCUAUAAUGCAAAUAUUUUUAGUAAAUUUGAUAUGAAAUCUGGCUAUUGGCAGAUUCAAAUUGACCCUAACGACAGAUAUAAAACAGCAUUUACCGUUCCAUUUGGUCAAUACGAAUGGAAUGUAAUGCCUUUUGGAUUAAAAAAUGCUCCUUCUGAAUUUCAAAGGAUCAUGAAUGAUAUUUUUAACCCUUAUUCUAAAUUUUGUAUUGUUUAUAUUGAUGAUGUGCUUAUAUUUAGUACAACUCUAGAAGAUCAUUUUAAACAUUUAAAAACAUUUUGUAUGAUUAUCGAGAAAAAUGGUUUAGCAUUAAGUAAAGCUAAAAUGGAUUUGUUUAAAACUAAAAUAAGAUUUUUAGGACAUCAUAUAGAACAAGGUAAGAUUCAACCUAUAGAAAGAGCACUUGUUUUUGGUGAAAAAUUUCCUGAUGAAAUUUCUAAUAAACCCCAAUUACAACGUUUUCUUGGUUGUUUAAAUUAUGUAAUUGAUUUUUAUCCAAAUUUAAAUUGCAUGAUAAAACCUUUACAUAAUAGACUUUGUAAAAAUGCUGGUCCUUGGACAACUCAGCAUACUCAACUAGUAAAAAAGAUAAAAUCAUUAGUAAAAGAAAUCCCUUACUUAUAUAUUCCUGAUCCUAAUGCUUUUAAAAUUGUUGAAACUGAUGCUUCUAAUAUUGGUUAUGGCGGCAUUUUAAAACAAAAAAUUAAUAGUAAAGAAAGAAUAAACAAACUGAUGCUUCUAAUAUUGGUGGUGGUGACCUUGCAACUUUCUGGGCGGUUUCACUUUUCCGUCCACCGGGCGGCGGCGGCGGCGGCGGUUCGGGAUCGGCCGGCGAGACUCCGGCGAGACUUCAAAAGGCAGAAUGCUCUCCUCUUCGUGCGGAUCAUGGAAAUAAAAUCCGAUUUUCAAUCGGUACAUUGUAAGGCUUAAUUGUCCAUUUUUCGGUAUAAGGUUUACAACUUGAAUUAACUAAUUAAUUGGAUAUAAGAUUAAUUGAAUUAUUAAAAGUUGGGAGUUUUAUGAAAUUAAAUUGCAAUUUGUGAGUAAAUCCCAAAUUUAAUGACUUAAUGAAUUAAUCGAGUGUCAAGUGGAUUAAAUUGAAUAUUAUAAAAUGUAGUUCAUGAAUAUUAGUUAUAAUAUCGACUUUGAAAUAUGAAGUUUUGCUAAUAAUUAUAUACGUUAAUUUUUGGAAUUUAAUAAGUAUAAAUUGGAGAAAUUAUAAUGUAAGGUAUAGAUAAAUAAAAUUCAUGAUAUUAUGGAAAUUAAAAACUUAUUGGUGAUAGAAUUAUCAAGUGCCUAUGUAUGGUGAAUGACUAAUAAGUGAUGUUUAUGGUGGACGGGAUCGGUUAAUGUGAGUUGCCCGAUGGAUGGGCCGUGUGUUGACAUGUGAGAAAUAUAAAAUUGAGUAGUAUAGUUUAUAAGGGAAAUGCCGUCGAAAUUUCGGUAAAACACUUAAGAAAACUCUUAAAAGAUAGUACGAUUAAAAUUAUUAUCGUUAUUAAUAUUAUGUUGUCACCCGUAUUAUUAUUAUUAUUAGUAUUAUUAUGACUAUCAGUAUUUAUAAGAACAUUACUUAACGAAUGACCAAACGUUUUAUAUAAAACUAAUAACUUUGAAAUAAAUAUAUAAAUGAGGAAAACCCAACAUAUAUGCACAUAUAAUAAAUGAAUUAAAUGGCUGGUAACCAAAACUAAUAAAAGAAUGUGAAAUAUAAGUUUUCGAAUUAAAAUUUUUAUUUAGAAUUUUCUUGUUUAUUUUAAAGGUUUAUAAAAUACCAAAAUGCGAGGACAAAAGCUGGAAGCAUGUGGCUAAAAAGGCAGUCCUUUUAAAGGACAAUAAAGAACUGUGAGUAGUGUUAGAUAACUAGUAUCAUCCGCCUGCAUUCAUGCAUUCACGGCUAAAUGCUAUCAUGCAUUAAUUUGUUGAAUUGCCAUAUUGUGCUGCACUAAUUGUUGAUAUUAAAUAAAUUAUGUGAUUACUUGUGCUGUGUAUAUACUGUGCCUUGUUUGUGUGGAAUUGGGAUGAAGUGGGUCACCAUGGGUUUGUGAGACUGNNNNNNNNNNNNNNNNNNNNNNNNNNNNNNNNNNNNNNNNNNNNNNNNNNNNNNNNNNNNNNNNNNNNNNNNNNNNNNNNNNNNNNNNNNNNNNNNNNNNNNNNNNNNNNNNNNNNNNNNNNNNNNNNNNNNNNCUCUUUGGGCGCACCUGAUGAUCUAGAUUUGAUUGUAGCCCGCAGGGUGGCCUCCUGUUGUGAGCACUUGAUGAUCGAGAUUGGAUGGAGACCACCGAGUUGCCUCCUGUUGGUAUUUUUUUUUUAAACAAAAAAAAAAAAAAAAGAUAGUGAGACUGGAAAAAUAAUCAGAGGACCGACAGUGUGAGGAUUAUACCGGUCAGCCAGAAUGGGGGAUUGGCUCCCUGGUGCACAUGUGAGUGGAUGGGCCAUGUGGGAGGACGGCUCAUCGGGUUCCCGUGACUCCACUGACUAAUUUCCACGUGAUAUGAUUAUAUGAAGGUGAUAAUACUUGUGAUUGCUGUUGUAUUGCCAUUUGUGUGACAAACUGCAUGAUCAUAAACUUCAACAGUGACCAGAUAAAAAUAUUUUAGCAUCUGUGUGACUGUGUGGGGUGAGAGGGUUAUCUAACCCUACUCAUUGAGUUUGGCGCUCACCCCUGCCUACUUUUUUUUUCCAGGUAAUAGAAAGAAAGGAAAGCCCUAUGGAGUUGAAAUACUUAUUAUAGAAGACUUUUAAUGAUAGAAAUAACGAUGUGAAUGUAAAGGUAGAGUUCCGCAAUUGGAUUCCAGUUGGUUUGUAAAUAAAUAAUAAAAGUCCAUAUUACAUAUAUGAACUGUAUUUUGAAUGCAUAUGUAUAAUAAGUAAUGGGCCUGAAUCCAUAAUUAUGAAUAGAAUGUAAGAUUUAAAUAAGUUAGGCUUACUACGGGCUUUGGGGGCCUUAAGCCCACCCAAAUCCUAGUGCCGGUCCGGCCACGGAAAUGGUUCGUGACAUUACUGACUUAAGAGCCGCUCUUUUCUCUCCCUUCUCCAUCCAUGUCUUACAGAUUUCUAUAUCGGUGUAUUAUGGAUAAAUUUUUAUGAAUAUAUCACCUGUAAAUGCUAGCUAAAAUGCCAAGCAAGAGUUGAUCGAGACUUUUCUAUGUAUUUUAGGUUAAAAUCUAUUGCAUUUUGGCAGAAAUAACAAGUUAAUUAAGAAGAGGCUUCUAAGUUAAAAGAAAAGAAUUGCCUACUCCCUAGUGUAUAUCCACUCACAUUCUAAAUCAAUCAAAAAGAUGUUUUUGACUGUAAUGAGUUAUUUCUGUCUAUUCACUAAGAAAAAUAUAAAACAACAAUAAAUUAAAGAAAAACCUUUAUUUUUUUAGAAGAAAGAAAAUAUCUAUUAAUUGAUUUGUCGUACGAAAUUAUCUCAUAGUGUAAGUAUAGGCAAAUUUUAUCAUAUAAAUUAUAGGUCAAAACGAUGAGAUAUUUUAAGGAUACAACAUCUCCUUUUGAAAUUCACCACUUGGAAAAAAUGAGAUUCCCUCCCAAAUUUCAUUAAUAUGAAAAUCUUUUUGUCUCUAAUAUGAAAUUUUUUUAUUAUUUAAAUAUUUUUUAUCGAAACCAUUUUAAUGAUUCUUAACAAAAUACUAUAUAUUUGCUUACUUUUCACUAAUCAGUGAUUACAUUCUAUAUUUGCACCAAAACCACUAAAUCAAUUACUUGUCUUAGUGAAAUAGCCAUUUGGUUAUUUAAAUAUCUGUUGAUAUUGAAAUCAUUAUUUAUUCAUUUGAUUUUUCAACUUUUUAUAUUGCAGCGAAAACAUCGAUUGACAUUAUAGUUUUAGUGCAACAGACUCUCUAUUAUAACAUGUAGUAAAUAGUUUCCAUUUUGAAUCAAAUUGGUAAAUAGUUUUUGAAACAACAUUAUUUUUGUUAAUGUCUUUAUCAAUGGCAAGUAAAAGUUGAUUGAGAUAAUUUUUUUUUUUUUAAGUUAAAAUCUAUUGCAUUUCAAAAAAUAGCAUUUUGUUAUAAAUAAUAACAAAAAACGAUGAUAUAUAGCAAGGACAUGAAAUUUCCUUUUAACUCAUCAGAAUAAAAAAAACGAAAAUGAUUUUUCCUUCCCAAACUUUUUUUUUAUAUGUAUAUAUAAAGUCGGUUCAUCUUGUACUGUCAAUAUCAUUACAAAUCAUAAUCAAGUCCUUAUGGUUAUGACUCACUAGUGUAUCUUUACCCUUUUAGCAGCAUUUUUGCAUAGUAUUGAGCUCCAUGACUUUGCAGGUAUGAUAUAUUAUUUNNNNNNNNNNUUUUUUUUUUUUUUUUGCAAACUUAAUUAACUGAAUUUAACUACUUACAAACUAUCAUUUCUCUGUGCAGGAGCUCAAACUAUUGGUGUUAACUUAUGGCAGAGUUGCUGACAACCUUCCCCUUCCUCAUCAAGUAAUACUGUGUGCAAAUCCAAGAACAUUCAAAGAAUUGAAAAACGAAACCUAAAUUACCCACUUCCCAUUUCCCAAAAUGCCAUCAGAUUCUUCUUCCACGGCAACUAGAAGAUUAACCAAACCCCAUAACACAGGAGCUCCACCGGCAGACCAGGAACACCUUCCAUGCCCGCGCUGCGAUUCUACUAACACUAAGUUCUGCUAUUACAACAACUAUAUUUUUUCCCAGCCUCGUCAUUUCUGUAAGUCUUGUCGCCGUUCCUGGACCCACGGCGGCACCCUUCGUGACAUUCCGGUUGGUGGUGACACUCGGAAAAAUGCUAAAAGAUCACGCACCAGUUCUAGUGGUUUUACUGUAGUAGGUCCUAUGACGGCCACCACAGGUAACCAUAACCUUCCAUUACCGGCUACACCACUACUGGCCCCACUUAUGGCCAAUCAAGCAUCGUCUAUACAGUUUGGCUGCGGUGGCGGUGAUGGGAAGGGUAAUGUGAGUGGUUCUAGUGGUAAUUCUACAGUAUCGGGUAGCUUUACUUCUUUGUUGAAUACUCAGGGCCCUGGGUUUCUAGCAUUGAGUGGGUUUGGGCUUGGACUUGGAUCUGCGUUUGAAUAUAUGGGCUUUGGGCUUGCAAGAGGAGUCUGGCCUUUUCCCGGUGUAGGAGAUGGUGGUGCUGGUGGUGUUGGUGGCAAUGGCGGUUCUGCUGGAGGAAUGAGUAACACGUGGCAAUUUCCCUUUUAUAGUUUGCAGUAUAUAUUUCAAUUUGUAUUUAAUAUAUAAUAAUUGACUGAUUUGAUUUUUGAGGCCCACAUUUAAAUUUUAAUUCCUGGCAAAAUUUAUAAUGAUUUGCUAGUUCAACAUUAAUUGAGUGCAAUCAUUCUCAUAGCAUAAGCAUCACCCAAUUUCUACUCUCCUAUCCCAAUGCAUUACCUGCUCUACAGAUUUGCAGUUGGACCUCUAGAACCUCAGCCUAAUGAAUAAUCAAAUUGCAAAAAUUAUAUUUUCUUUUAUUUUGCAAUUAUUAAAGGGGCAUUUACAUUAAUUAUGAGAUAAAAAAUUAAUUAUGGUGUCGCUUGGACACACUCUACAUUUAUAAUUAAUUUUAACUUCAAUUUUCAUAAAUUUUCGAAUAGAAGAAGAGAUGACAAUGAUUUUUUCUCUGUUAACUAAAUAUGUUAACUAAAUAUUUUAAGUUCUAACAACAGAAUCUAAUUAGUCAGAAAAAAAAAAAUACUCUCUCUGUCUUAUAAAUAUAUAUUUACUUUAUCUUUUUUUUUAGACCACUUUUAUCACUACAAAAAAAACGGCAUUUUGUGACCGACCAAUCGGUCGCAAAAUGCCAAAAAAUCGGUCGCUAAAUCAAUUAGAGACCGAUUUGCGACGAAUACUGUCGGUCGCAAAUAAUCGGUCGCAAAUCAGUCGCAAAUCGGUCGCAGAAGUUAUUCCUAAUUUUGAAGCGCGCAAUUUUGCGACGGAAUAAAACGUAGUCGCAAACCGAUCGCAAAAUCGGUCGCAAAUCCGUAGUACAUUAGUCGCAAACUGAAAAACAAACUCCCGAGAAUUUUUAGCACUACAAUUAGCGACUGUUUGUCCAUAGAUCGCAAAUCGAUCGCAAAAUUGCGACUGAUUUGAAUCGAUCGCAAAUCGGCGAUUUUUUUUGUAGUGUAUCGUGGAAGAUACAAUUAUUUUCUUACUCUCGUAACCUACCUGAUACUUUGUUAGUAACAACGUUUGCAUUUUUUAUUGAAAGUGACAUAUUAUCUUAAUAUAGGGUAUGUUAGGAAAAAUGAAAGUAAAAUUUAAUAUUAUUCUAAUAAUAUUAAUUGCAUUGUUUAAUCUAUGUAAAAAUAAAAAUAAUCGUAUCUUUUUAGGCAAAGAGAGUAAUAUAAUAAAAAAAUUAAAAUUAAGCUUGACAUGUAUACUAGAAUGGAUUAAAUUAAAUAAGAUACUGUUAUUUUUCUUUAACAUUAAAUAAAAAGUUAAGGCCAAAUCAAACUAAAUUAUAUAUGAUAUAUAUUAUAUAUAAAAUACGAGGAUAAUGAGUUCCUAAAAUGCGUCGCUAAAUUUUCAAAUUGACAAAAAUAUUAUGGAUCGAGAACUUUAAUUUUGUUGGUUGAAAAAUAAAUAUAGUUUAAUUUUAAUUGUUUACGUCAAUUUGCUAUUUGAAUCUAAAUUUUAUUAAGAAGUUUAAUCUAAUUUUAAAUAGAAAAUUUUCUAAUUUAGUUUCAUGCAAAUUUGGAUAAAAAUAAAAUAAAAUAUUAUUAUUUAGAAAUUUUAAUUUAAUUGCUUAACUAAUUUCCUAUUAUAUAAUGAUUUGCUAUAUGUAAGGGAGAAAAAAAAAACGAUUACGUUAUAUUAAUCCUAUUAUACUACUUUCUACAUUGAAGGAAAAAAAAAACAACUGACUAAUUUCUUUCUGUUAUAUUCAUACCUUCUAUUCGUGGGUAAUAUAUAUAUAUAUAUAUAAAUAUUAAUAUAAAUAUAGAAAUUAUUAAUAUAAAUUAUUAUUAAUUAUUAAUAUAAAAUUAUAUAUAUAAAUAUAGAUAUUAUUAAUAUAUAUAGAUUUUGUUUUAAAAAUGAGUUUGAAAAUUAGCUUAUUCGACUCAAUUAGGAAUAUUAACUCGAUUAGGAGUAAGAAAUUAGCUUAUUCCACAAAUUAUAUGAAAUCAAUUAUUUACAUAAGCUAGUGUGAAAAAAUUUAUAGUGUUAUCAAAAUCCUUAAUUGUAGCGGUAUAUAUGAUAAAUCCCUCUUAACUUUUAGGGUGUCACAGUUGUUUUUUUUUUNNNNNNNNNNNNNNNNNNAUUAAUUUAGAUAUUUGGCUACAUAAUUAAUUAUUUCUUCUAUAUGUUUAGAUUUUGAUUUGAUAGAAAUAGAAUAAUAAUAAGGAGAUGACUGCAAUAAAUUGAAUUUUUUUUAUAAAAAGAAACCGAGCAAAGCUGAAAUUUGUUUAGAACCAAAUCAAACUAAUUUAAUUAAGCUUAGUUUGAUUUACCUUUUUGAUUUUUCCUUAUUUUUUAAGAUUUUAAAACUUAAAUAGUUAAAAAAAAAAAGAAUUUUCGAUUUUUCUGUAUACACUAAAAUUGAACUGAUAAAUUUUGAAAUCAAAUCCAUUCGAUUCGGUGAAUUCAGUCUAUUUUUUCAGAUAGUUCUCAGCCUAAUCCAAAUGAUGAAAUAUGGUAUGAAUAUAAAAAUUUCCAUUUAAAAUUCACAAGGAAAAUUUCUUUUCCUAAGAUAGCAUAUAUCUAUUUACGUUAAUUUUUUUUUUAAUCUAUAAAAUCAGUCCAUCUUAUAUUGUCAAAAUCAUUGCAAAUCAUAGAUUCAUAACUAAGUGCUCGUUAAGAUUAUCUAUGGCUCGUCCUAUCUUUAGCAUUUUAGCAGCUUUUUUGCUUAUUAUCGAGUUCCAUGACUUUGUUGGUAUGUUAUAUUAUUAUUUUUCUGAAAAAUAUUAUCAUAUUUGAUUAUUAUUAUACUUUGUACAAGUUUUUAGGAUUUGUUGGGCAAAAUUAACUGUUUUAGUUGUAUUUGAUUGUUAGUUAUUAACUGUUUGAGUAGUCCUAAAACAUUACAAGUUAAAUGUUAGAUUGGUUAAUUUUUUAUAAAACGCUACCUUAACUUCUAAAUUGAAUUGGUUAGACAGUUUAAACAAAAGUUUUUCUUCCCUUACUUCUUAUUUAAGUUACACAGUUUUUUCCAAAUGCUAAUUUUCUUGCCUGGUAAACCACCAUUGGUGCGAUGCAGGAGCAGAAAUUGGUGUGACCUUCUCAAGACUAGCAGACAACUUUCCACCAGCACAAGUAGCUGUAAAAUUUGCUAAAUCGAAGGGCUUCAAAAGAAUUCGUCUUUACAAGCCCCAUCACGAUGCGUUACAAGCACUGAAAGGUCAGGGCAUACAAGUGAUCUUAGGAGUUGGCGACGACGAAGUUGAAGCAGUAAGUAAAUCCGCUGCACCGAAAUGGGUCAAAGACAAUGUUGUGCCAUAUGCAAAUCAAAUAACCAUUAUAGCCAUAGCUAUUGGACAUGAUCUAAUCCCUAAUAGUAAAUUAGCAGUUUACGUUCUUCCUGCACUGCAAGCAAUGAAAGAAGCACUGGUAGAUCAUGGGCUUCCUUUUAUUUCUGUAACAACGCCAUUUACAUUAGAUACACUUCUUACACAUUUUCCUCCAUCCCAUUCAACUUUUGAUCCAGAAAAGAUUUAUCUUAUUAAACCCAUUAUCAAUUUCUUGGCAACUCAAAGUCCUCUUCUUUUAUGCGAUAUUUACCCUUAUGAAACUUAUCUAAGGGACUCUCACCUUGUCAGUUUAAAUUAUGCUUUGCUUAAUAAUACAAAUGUUGAGGUUGUAGAUGUUCCAUUCGGAUAUACCAAUAUGCUUGAUGGUUUAGUAGAUGCUUUUUACAGUGCAAUUGAAAAACUUGAAAACCUUGAAGCAGGAACUGUUAAGAUUGUUGUGAGUGAAACUGGGUGGCCGUUUUCCGAAGAAAUAUAUGCUUCUGCUCAAUAUGCAAGAACGUAUGCUUCAAAUGUGUUCAAACGGGGACAAGCAAAUACAGGAACACCGAAGAAACCUUCUUGGGCAUUGGAUGUUUUUGAAUAUAACUUGUUUUUUCAAGAUAAUGCUCCUCUAGAUAAGAAACCAUAUGCUUUAUUUUACCCUAAUAUGUCUGCCAUAUAUUUUAAUUAGGGUUUGUAUUGGAUAUUGUAAAAUCUUAUCACUUUUUUAUUUUAUAACUUAUUGUGUGUAAGAAUAAAUGUGAAAUAAUUUAUAUAUUUUAAGAUUUGCUGUCUGAAGUUUUCAUAUUUUCCAAAUUCAGUUCGAAAAGAAUUCCUUACAAAUUAUAUUUUGCCCACUCAAAAUGUAAAAAAUUAAUAUUUCACAGCAUUUGUUUCAGCCCUUGAACUUUAUUUUCUAAUUUCACCCUGCACUUAAUAAUGCAUGCAUUUCUUUCUUUUUCUUUUCUCUCUCUCUUUUUUUUUUUUUUUUCCGUUAUUUGUGUAUACCUAUCAAUGCUGGCUAUAAUGCCAAGUAAGAGUUCAUUGAGAUAAUAAAUAUUUUCUAGGUAGAUUAGGUUAAAAUCUAUUGCAUUUUGGCAGAAAUAACAAGUUAAUUAAGAAGAGGCUUAUAAAUUAAGAAAAGAAUUGCCUACUCCUCGCGUAUAUCCAGUUAUUCGUUCAUAUGCCAAAUCAAUUAAACAAAUGUUUUUGGCUGUAAUGGGAUAUUUUUGAUCAUUCAUUGAAAAAAAAAAUGAUAGAACAAUAAUAAAUUAAAAAAACUUCUAUUGAUUGAUUUGUGUAUGAUAAAUAUUUAUUAGAGACUUAACUGUAAUUUAUAUAUAAGACCUAAUUAUAUUUUAUGAACUAAAUAUUAUAUUGUGCAUAGAAUUUGAUUACGAUUAUUUCUAAUCAUUCGUCAACACUCAAUUCAUGAUCAAUCACUCCAAAAUAAUUAUUCAAUUGGUAUUUCAAACACUUGUUUAAUAAGGAUUCCAACUACAACUUUAAUCAAUAUCUUUCUACCAAACUCUCUACUCAGUUAGGCAAUAUCUACGCAAUAGGCAACAUAAUAUCUAUUUAAUUGGGAUUAUUUAUUAUUCUUUUACUGAGUUAAGAAUCAAAGUGGUUACUGAUCUAAGAGCCCCUCUUUUCUCUCCCUUCUCCAUCCAUGUCUUACAGAUUUCUAUAUCGGUAUAUUAUGGAUAAAUUUUUCUGAAUAUAUCACCUGUAAAUGCUGGCUAAAAUGCCAAGCAAGAGUUGAUUGAGACUUUUCUAUGUAUUUUAGGUUAAAAUCUAUUGCAUUUUGGCAAAAAUAACAAGUUAAUUAAGAAGAAGCUUAUAAGUUAAAGGAAAAGAAUUGCCUACUCCCUAGUGUAUAUUCGCUCACAUUCUAAAUCAAUCAAAAAGAUGUUUUUGAUUGCAAUGAGGUAUUUCUGACCAUUCACUGAGAAAAAUAUAAAACAAGAAUAAAUUAAAGAAAAACCUUUAUUUUUUUUUAGAAGAAAGAAAAUCUCUAUUAAUUGAUUUGUCGUACGAAAUUAUCUCAUAGUGUAAGUAUAGGCAAAUUUUAUCAUAUAAAUUAUAGGUCAAAACGAUGAGAUAUUAUAAGGAUACAACAUCUCCUUUUGAAAUUCACCACUUGGAAAAAAUGAGAUUCCCUCCCAAAUUUCAUUAAUAUGAAAAUCUUUUUGUCUCUAAUAUGAAAUUUUUUUAUUAUUUAAAUAUUUUUUAUUGAAACCAUUUUAAUGAUUCUUAACAAAAUACUAUAUAUUUGCUUACUUUUCACCCAUCAAUGAUUACAUUCUAUAUUUGCACCAAGACCAACAAAUCAUUUGUUCGUCUUAGUGAAAUAGCCAUUUGAUUAUUUAAAUAUUUUUUGAUAUUAAAGUCAUUGUUUAUUCAUUUGAUUUUUCAACUUUUUGCAUUGCAGUGAAAUUACUGAUUGACGAAGUAGUUUUAGUGCAACAUUCUCUGUAUUACAGCACACAGUAAAUAGUUUCCAUUUUGCAUCAAAUUGGAAAAUAGUUUUUGAAACAACAUUAUUUUUGUUAAUGUCUUUAUUAAUGGGAAGUAAAAGUUGAUUUUUAGGUUAGAGUCUAUUGCAUUUCAAAAAAUAGCAUUUUGUUAUAAAUAAUAACAAAAAACGAUGAUAUAUGGGAAGGACAUAAAAUUUCCUUUAAACUCAUCAGAAUAAAAAAAAGAAAAUGAUUUUUCCUUCCCAAACUUUUUUUUUAUAUGUAUAGUAUUGUCAGUCCAUCUUGUAUUGUCAAUAUCAUUACAAAUCAUAAUCAAGUUCUUAUGGUUAUGGUUCACUCUAUCUUUAGCCUUUUAGCAGCAUUUUUGCUUAGUAUUGAGCUCCAUGACUUUGCAGGUAUGAUAUAUUAUUUAUUUAUUUAUUUUUUGCAAACUUAAUUAACUGAAUUUAACUACUUAUAAACUAUCAUUUCUCUGUGCAGGAGCUCAAACUAGUGGUGUUAACUUAUGGCAGAGUUGCUGACAACCUUCCCUUUCCUCAUCAAGUAAUACUGUGUUACAACAACUAAGUUCUGCUAUUACAACAGCUAUAAUUUUUCCCAGCCUCGUCAUUUCUGUAAGUCUUGUCGCCGUUACUGGACCCACGGCGGCACCCUUCGUGACAUUCCGGUUGGUGGUGGCACUCGGAAAAAUGCUAAAAGAUCACGCACCACUUCUAGUGGUUGUACUGUAGUAGGUCCUAUGACGGCCAACACAGGUGACCAUAACCUUCCAUUACCGGCUACACCAGUACUGGUCCCACUUAUGACCAAUCAAGCAACGUCUAUACAGUUUGGCUGCGGUGGCGGUGAUGGGAAGGGUAAUGUGUGUGGUUCUAGUGGUAAUUCUACAGUAUCUGGUAGCUUUACUUCUCUGUUGAAUACUCAGGGUCCUGGAUUUCUAGCAUUGAGUGGGUUUGGGGUUGGACUUGGAUCUGGGUUUGAAGAUAUGGGCUUUGGGCUUGCAAGAGGAGUCUGGCCUUUUCCCGGUGUAGGAGAAGGUGGUGCCGGUGGUGUUGGUAGCAAUGGCG